rnacentral:lncRNA from 1 species
GCCUAAAAACCUAGGGACUCUAAGGAGCUAACGAUCGGCCGCUGGAACCAAACGACAAACCCCAUUGAAGUCCAUCGACUUUUUCAUUCCAACAGCAGUUAUCUCCAUCAACCUUGCACCGAAAAUUCCUCAAUCUCGCCGGAAAUUCGACCACCGUUAACAUACGCACACACUCACGUUUCUCGGACGAAAAAUAAGAAAAAUGCACACACAAGAAUUCUGCUUCCUUUUAAUUUCGAUUUUGGUGUUCCAAAAAUGGAGAUUAAAUUGAGGUUUGAAGUCCGGUUUUGAGGUCAUCACUGUCCAUCGAGGUCCGAUGCGUCGAUGUCAUAUGGCAAGGAAGAAAAUCGAUCUUAGAUCUGCUUUGCCCAAGUAACUCUCAUUUUUUUACUAUUCCUAUACUGUGUUAAUGAUCUCCUUACUGUCUAAUUGUAAUGUAAAUUUUCGUUAAUUAGUUUCUGUAUUGGUUUUUGCAAAUGGAGUUCGAUCUGUGCGUCUUUUCUUUUUCUUGUUGUAUGACUAGUUAACCUCGAAUCUGCUGUCCCGUGCUUCCUCUUCUAUUCGUUACUACGUUCUUAUUCGCUAUUUUGUGUAAAUCCGACCGUUAAAAGUUGACUUAUUUCAUAGUUUUUUAUGAUUGACUUAUUCGUAUCUAGGUGUCGAUUUCGAUCCGCAUUUUUCUGCCUAUUCUUGUAUUGAGUUGCAUCACAAUGCAUUCUCGUAUUUAACUUCACGGAUGUUAUGGAGAAUCUGAUGAACUUGGGAACAAACUUGUUAAUGUGAUGUGGAAGGUACUCCUCGUCUUCUGCUUGAAAUUUAGUGAACACCAUGUGUGCUCAUAUUUAACUUAAUGCACGUCAGGGAGAAUCUGAUGAACUUGUUUACCAAGUAAAGUUGGUUUUCUAUUCGAAAUAGAACGAGGCUCAAGAUUUGGCAUAAUAAGUAUUUGCUAGGACUUGUGCUCAAGAAGAGAAACUCAACGUAUCUGUAUCGCCUAAUUCCGAUCCUAAUGAUUGGGGAAUGCUACCUAUGCAAACUAUGAAUAGUUCUGAUGGUUGAGAUUCUUAUUCUUGGGGUUUUCUUAGUUGAGGCUAAUGAAAUUGAUGCUGUGAUUUUACAAAAAAUGAUGUUAUGUGUUGGUUUGGAAGUAUUUCUAUCAUUGUGGCUAUGGGUACGGUUCCCGUGGCAUGGUCGCGAUACAUAAUUCCAUAUUCGGGUGUGCAUUUCAUGUGACCUGAUUCUAAUUUCCAACGAGGUUGAAUAGAACGUGUCAUGACUCACGGGUGCAUUUCAUGUAGCGUGGCUUGCGACGUGUUUUAAACAACCUUGAAAUAAUUCCUUAAAUAAAUAAAAGUGGUUUUAAAGUUAAAAAUUCACAUAGGUUUAAAAGUAUUUAAAAUCGGAUAAUUAGGCCAAUAAUAAUAGUUGAGUGACCGUGCUAGAACCACGGAACACGGGAAUGCCUAACACCUUCUCCUGAGUUAAUAGAAUUCCUUACCCGGAUUUCUGUGUUCGCGGACUAUAAAACAGAGUCAAUCUUUCCUCGAUUCGGGAUUUGAACCGGUGACUUGGGACACCAUAAUUAUCUCAAGUGGCAACUCUGAUUUUAAAUAAAUAAUUCCGUUUCGAUUGUCACUUAAAUUGGAAAAAUACUCCCUUAUAUAUCCCUCGGGGUGUAAAAAGGAGGUGUGACAUUUGUUUUCUUGUAAAAAAAAUUAAAAAGAUUAAAGACAAGGAUGUUUACUUUCUUGAUGAAAUCAUACCCUUGGCUUAUGUCAAGGUUGUUAUUCUCUAUUUCCUUUUUGUUCCUUUUUCAUGAUUUUAUUUUCAUUAGAUAGCAAGUUGAGAUAUUUAAUGUUGUGCCAAUUAGUGCUCGUUAAAUAUAUAGUAUUGAAGAUUGAGGCACAGUCGAGUCAUGUGUACGGUUAUUUGAAGAUUCAAAUUUAACUUUUCGUGGUAAACAUAAGCUGCUAUAUGAAAAGUUCAAUAAACAUUGGUUUAAAACAACUAACAAAGUUUUCAAGCCUGUAUAAAGUUACUGCACCGAAAAUGUGAUAUUGCUAUGGAGACGUAAGUAAACUAAUGAUAGUAGUGUUUGACCAAAAAGUAUAACUUUCGGUUAAAUCUUUAUAUUUAUAUAAUGAUGGGUUAAACCUAGUUAAUAAUAAUAUUUUUAAACGUAAAACUUAAAAAUAUGAAUAAUAUAGGGUUGACCCAGUGGGGAGUUAAUGACAUUGUGCAUUAAAUAUUCCAAAACUAUGAGCAAUAAUGGAGAAAUAACUAGCAAUAAAUAACAAUAAAUGUGUGACGACCCGACUGGUAGUUUUGAGUAUCUGCACUUCGCUCGGUGUUUUGAGGGCUCGAGUAUCUCCGCAUGAGGUAAUAUGACUUGCGUUAAUCGUCGGCAUUGAUUUUCGAGUUAUCCGGAAUCAAUUUGGAAGAAUGAACUUCGAGAGUUGAGUACUAAGUUGGAAGAGUUGACCAAGUUUGACUUUUAGCAUUUGACCUCGUAAUGGAGUUUCGUCAGUUCCGUUAGCUUCGUUGGGUAAUUUUGGACUUAGGAGCGCGUCCGGAUUGUGAUUGGGAGGUCCGUAGUUGAAUUUGGCUCGAAAUGGCAAAAGUUGGAUUUUUAGGAAGUUUGACCGGGAGUGGACUUUUUGAUAUCGGGGUCGGAUUUCAAUUUCGGAAGUUGAAAUAGGUCCGUAAUGUCAAAAGUGACUUGUGUACGAAAUUUGAGGUCAAUCGGAGGUGAUUUGGUAGGUUUCGGCAUCGGUUGUGGAAGUUGACGUUUCAAAGUUUAUUGAUUUCAACUUGAGGUGUGAUUCAUCAUUUCGAGGUUGUUAUGCGUGAUUUGAAGCUUCGAGUAGAGUCGUCUUAUCAUAUGGAUCUUUUCUGCAAAAUUUGGCGUCAUUCGUAGUUGAUUUGAUAUGGUUUGGACGCCCGGUUGUGAUUCUAGAAGUUCUUGAAGUCUAAUUUGAUUUGCAUGCAUUUUGGCGUCCAAUUCGUGGUUGUAGAAGUUAUUUUGAUGAUUUGAGCGUGCGAGUGAGUUCGGGUUAUGUUUUUACACUUGUGUGCAUAUUUGAUUUGGAGCCCCGAGGGCUCGGGUGAGUUUCAGAUUUUUUUUCGGAAUGUUAUUGCAUAGUUUUUAAUUGCUGGUUCGGGUAUUUUUGCAUUUGCGAGGUUUUGAUCGCAAAUGCGGCCAUCACAUUUCCGAAGAAACUCCGCAUUUUGCGAAGCCUGGGUGACUGGGCAGUUUUCGCAUUUGCGAUGAACCAGCCACAUUUGCGAAGGCUGGUCUUCGCAUUUGCGAAGUUUUCUGUUGCAAAUGCGAUCUCAGCAGGCAUCCUUCAGGUUCGCAAUUGUGAUGUAUUCUUCGCACUUGAGGGUUCGCAAAUAGCAAAUAUCUGCAACCUGAUAAGUGUUGAGAAUUCUGAGUUUUUACUUCAUUUUUCACAUUUUUGAACCCUAGCUUCGAGGCGAGGCGAUUUUGAGAGGGGAUUUUCAUACCAAAUCAUUGGGUAAGUAUCUUUAAUCAAUUUCCAACUAUAUUUCAUAAUUUUCUACAAGAUUUAACAUCAAAUUCAUGGGAAAUCUAUGGAAAAAUUUGGAGAUUUUGUCAAAGUUUUGAAAAAUAAAAAUUUGAGAUUUAAGAGUUGAAUAAGAUUCAGAUUUUAAAAUAAAACACAUAUUUGGACUCGUGAGGCUAUGGGUAGUCAAGACCUACCCUUGGACCCGGGUUUUGACCGGGCGGGCUCGUGGUUUGACUUUUGUUGACUUAUUAAAAAUUGAAUGGAAAUCAUAGCUUUAUUAAUUGGAAUUGUUUUCUCUUGCAUUGUGUGGUGUAUUCAAGUCGUCAUUGGUUAGAUUGAGUUUAGCGGAGGCGAAUUUAUAGAGGAAAAGGCUAAGUUGGGUGUUGAGUUAGCCGAAUCGAGGUAAAUAUUUUGCCUAACUUUGUUGAGGGAAUUUUUCCUCCUAUUUGUCAUUGUUUGCUACAUGCGGGGGUGAUACAUAUAUGAGGUGACGAGCGUAUAUAUAUGUGACAGGGUUAAUCAUGCGUGGGGGGUGGAUUAUGUUAUAUUUGUGUUUGUAGAAUUUUGUGACACUCUGCUUAAUGCCUUAUUUGAUUCUUAGAUAGUAAGGGCAUAAUAUUAAAUGAUAAAUAUCAAGAUUUAGUUUGUUAUAACUUGAUCGAACUUGAUGGAAAUUAUAAGAAUACAUUGAUGUGUCUAAUUCAGUCAUCUCUAUGUGAAAUUAUUACUACAUUACUACAACCGAUAUUCUUGGGAUGUUAGACUAUAUACUUGUGUUGUGGAUCAUUUAUGAGACACAUAGAAAUAUUUGAAUAAUAUGGUUCUUGAGAGUUGUUUAAUCAUUGUUGACUUGGAAAGUUGUGAUUGGGAAUUGUCUGGAUUAUCCAUUAAAACACUCUCCUUGAUGUCAAUUAUACUUCCUGCCUUGUUUGUUACUGUUAUUUAUAUGCUUGGUAAGGAAGAGUGUAAAGCACGAAGGGUGAUACCGUGCCAUUAUUUAUACAUUAUCAUAUGAGGGAGAGUGUAAAGCACGAAGGGUGAUGUCGUGCCAUAUCAUUUGAGAGUAAAAGCAUGAAGGGUGAUGUCGUGCCAUAUUAUUGAGAGUAAAACCACAGAGGGUGAUGUCGUGCCAUAUUAUUGAGAGUAAAAGCACGAAGGUUGAUGCCAUGCCAUAUCAUUUGAGAGUAAAAACAUGAAUAAUGAUGCCGUGCCAUUUCAUUUAUGUUAUUAUGCUUGUAUGUUAUUGUGAGGUUAUGGCACAAAGGGUGUUUCCGUGCAGGUGAGGACGAGGGACAUGCAUUAUGAUGUGAUAUCCGUUUCCCCGUGUAUAUGUUUGUGCCUUUACUUUGAGCUGUUAUUGUUGUGAUUACAUAUUUUGUGUGACUUGUUGUUAUUGUCAUGUAUUUGACCUUUAUCUCAAUUGUUGUUGCACUAUCCAUGUCUUUUUCUUGCUUAAUUUGCGAACACUGUGCCUAUUUCCUACUUUUACAUUUAUACUCAUGUUGUAUCUAUUUUGUUGCACUUUAGAUUAAGCCUUCCACCAUGCUAGCCAUUCAUGCCUUUACUUGUCAACUUGUAAAGAUCAAGUGUUUCCUUCUUAAUUAUUAUAUUUGCACAAAGGCCUCCAAUAUGCUAGUUAAUUGAAGUUGAUAUUCCUUGUUUUUCGAUUGUUGAUAUUACUCACGUGCUUUCCGUUUAGCCCUUUUACUAUGACCCACAUGUGUAUCCUUGUCCUUUGUUGUUACUUGCAUAUUUCCUACUUUGUAAUUCCUAUUAUUGUGUUCAUGUUAUAUGGUUGGUUUUGUUAUACGUUUAUCUGGAAAGAUGAGUUGAUCGCACGAAGGAUAUUGUCGUGCUAAUUGAAUUAUUACAUAAACUUAUUAAUACAUGGUGAGAAGGAGAUAAAAGCACGAAAGGUGUUACCGUGCCAUAUGAUUUGACAUUUUGACAUUUUGGGCAUGCAUCUCAUACCAGGAAAUACCAUAAAUAUCCCUCUGUGGUUCCUAUUAGUAGUUAUUGACUGUCUUGCCGAGUUGUUUAUGAUACUUUUAUCUGUUAUGUUUUGAACUGCUUUACAGUUAAUCCAUUGUACAAGUUAUAUUAAUAAGCAUCUUUUUAACUAAAAGCCUCAUCACUACUUCGACGUGGUUAGAUAAAGUACAUGGAGUCGGUUGUACUGAUACUGCACUUUUGCACGUUUCAUGUAGAUUUUCGGAGUAGAGCUGCUGGUGACGUCGGGUGCUGAUUCAGAAAAUGUUCGUGCAUUUGGUUGAAGCUGCCACUUUUCCUUGGUAGUUUUUGACAUUUUUAAUCUAUUUUUGUAAUUUUCAAACAGAUCGUGGGAUAAUUUGUACUAGCUUUGUAAAUCCUAAAUUCUAGAUGCUCCUGACUUUUAAUACCAGUUCUUAGGUAAGUUUGUAAAAGUUCUGAUAAAUCCUAACUUCAUUUUUAUACAAGUUAUUUGGUUUGUUUCUUAUGUUAAUUGGCUUACCUAACGGGUCAAGUUAGGUGCCAUCAUGACCUGUGAUUUUGGGUUGUGAUAAGGUGGUAUCAGAGUACUAGGUUCGUAGGUUCUACGAGUCAUGAACAAGUGUCUAGUAGAUUCCUGUGGAUCGGUAUGAUGACGUCCAUACCUAUCAUCGGGAGGCUAUAGGGCAUUUAAGAAAAAAUUUCCCUUCCUUCUUUUCUUAUCGUGCGGCUUUUCUUUUGCUUGAAAUCUACAACUUUGACUUUUCCCGAUCACUCAUAUAUGAUGUUGUGCGCUUGAUAUUCGCUAUAUGCUAACGAUCGGUGAUGCUGUAGAUGGAUUACAAUGGUCUAUGGGUGCUUGAUUAUCAACGCAAUGCGUUUUCCAGCCUCAGAAGCAAAUGUAAUGUUAAAUCUUCUAGUCAUUCGUUUGUGGUAGGAGGCAGGUUCAUAUGUCUGGUUGGUAAGCACAAAUUUGGAAAGAUUGGUUGGUGGCCAGGCUAUUGUGAUUAAGGUGAGUUCAUGGUAAGGAAUCGAUUUGAGUAUAACCGAUGGGACAUCUCUUACAUGAUGAGUUUGGAUCGUGCGGCUUGUAUGAGGUUUCCAUUUGGUGGAGUGCAUAUGUUAUCAUUUCAGAGCAUUUGGGAAAGUUGGUGACUAUUGCAAUGAUGGGCAAGCGUUUGGCAGAAUCUUCAGGGUGUUCUAUGGCUUCAAGCUAAGUGGCCGAGGCUGCUAAUGACGAUCGGAUUGUAGGAUCAUGGGCCGUAUCAGUUUCCAAACCGAGAGCUUUCAUGUUUAUUUCUUUGAAUGGGCAUAUGCUGGUGAAGCAUGGGUUGCUCAACGCGUAUUAGCUGCGCAUUGAAGAUCAGAAUAAGAUGAGUGGAUUUAAGGACUUUUGAAUUUGUCUACGGAGCAGUGAAUGGUAAUCAGAUUCACGGUAUUUCCUUGUCAAGAAAGUUCUACAAGUCAAUAUUGGGGUGAUGCAAGAAAUGGCUUCGGGUUCCCAGGAAGUUCCCUUAGGGCGGGCAUAUUGGAUUGAGUUUCUUUCGGGUUGGCAGUCUGCGUAACUUAGUUGAGGUAGAGGUGAUUGGUUCUUAUUCCUCGAUUAUGUGUUAAUGAGUUCCGAAGAAUUUACGAUGGUUAUGACCAUGGACGGGGUUGAUGUUUUCUACAGGUAUAGAGGCUAUAUUGCUUGUGGUGGUGUUUUCCUAGAUUGGGCUAAAUGAAAGAUUCCCGGUUGAUGAGGUGUUCAAUUUUCUUAUGGUUUAGAGUUGGCUAUAAGAUUUUUGUAGUGUUGCGAGUUAGCAUGUUAGAGACGAUGUGCCAUAUGGGGAAUGAGAAGUUACAUGUGCAAGGUUGCCGUUUAGGUUUGGAGGGAAGGAUACGAGUUCUUGAUAUCUCAGACAACUUCGGGUGUUUGAGGUCUUGUUGGCACUAUGGGUUCCCUCGAAGUAGAGUUCGCCUAUUGGAGGAUACAAUGUAUUUUGACUUAUGGGUGUUUCUUCGUGAGAUGAUGAAGUAUGAAUUACACGACAGCUAUUUGAGUAGCGGUGUUGAUAUUGGGUGUUACACCUCCUUUUUCCUACCCACCCGUAAGGGAUAUAAAGGAGUUUUUCCAAUUAAAGGACAAUCGAAACGGGAUUGUUUAUUAAGAAAUUUAGAGUCGCCACUUGGGAUAAUUUAUGGCAUCCCAAGUCACCGGUUUAAAUCCCGAAUCGAGGAAAGAUUGACUCUGUUUAACAGUCUGCGAACCAGAAAUCCGGGUAAGGAAUUUUGUUAACCCCGGAGAAGGUGUUAGGCAUUCCCGAGUUCCGUGGUUCUAGCACGGUCGCUCAACUGUUAUAUUCGGCUUAAUUAUCUGAUUUUAAAAUAUUUUUGAACCUAUGUGCAAAUUUUAACUUUUAACCGCUUUUAUUCAUUUUAAAGAAGAUUUAACGUCGUUUAAAACAUGUCUUUGGAUUGUGCCACAUGAAAUGUACCCGCAAUCCGUAACACAUUUUAUUUAACGUUGCGAGAUUUAGAGUUGGAUCACAUGAAAUGCACACCCGAGUUUAGGAAAGUAAUAUUAUUGAAUAUACGCGCCUAGAGCAACUACGCGUUUUUAACUUUGUAAGGGCCAUGGAAAUUUCCUAAAUGGCACGCCUCGAAUUCUAAGUAUUUUAAAAGAAACAAUUAAGCGAGGGCCACGCAUUUGAGAUUUUAUGUUUGGCAUGGCGCACCUCAAUUUAUUCUAAUUAGAGCGUUGCUAAACUAAUACAUGAGGACCAUAAGUUGUUAUUGGUUUUGAAUGACACACCUCGAUUAUUUUACAAGGAGUUAACUAAAUUAAACCACAUGGAACAAUUAUAAUUACGAGUACGAAAAUUUCAAACUCAAUGCCUAGAACUUGUAUGUUGACAAUUUGUGACAACAGAUUGAAUUCAUAAAACCAAACCCAAGUGGGUUAUGGACUCAUAACCUACCUAAAUGUCAAUAAGCAAGAAAAUCAAAAUAGGCUUAAACGUAAAUCCCCGAAACUGCAAUGUACCCAGUAGAGGAAGUUCGACAAAACUGGGCCAAUCCUGUAACCUAGUCCGAAACUGUGAGCAUUAGUUGCUACAAGAGAUCCAUGUUGAAAAAUGCAAACUUAACAACCCAAGUAUUACCAAUUUACAACUCAUUUCAUCAUUUUAAACCAAAAUAAGUUUCUGAUAUGUUCCCUCCAACUGCUGGAUUCUGAUUUCAUGCCAACAGGCCAAAAUUCAGAUUCACAUUCCAUUCACGAUUUUAUUAAACUUCCAAGAUUGCUUAUGCGUAAAAAAAUAGCAGGCUUACGUGAGAAAACCAAAACAUUGGACUAUACUUCAAAUCAUUUGCAAGAAAAUCUAAAGGAAUGAUUAAGAGGGAGAUAACAUUAAACCAAACUGCUGAGCCUAUAACACAAGCAAACCAAACUAGUAGCGUCCCAUUAUACAUGUUAGGCUAGAAUAAAAUUUUGAAUAAGUCAUAGUCAAAGGAGACCUCAGCUCCAGCCUUAGAACAACAGAUGAUACCCAACGACUACACCUAAGAAGCGAAACUAUAAUGGACACUAAACUAAAGCACGGUAAGGUCACAUAGCUAAGAAAUAACAAGGAAUUAGCACUUUGACAAUUUCUUCAACUUGAAUUAAAUAACUCGAACCACAGCUUAGCUAAAACUUCAUUUCCAUUCAUGGUGUGAAGAAAGUACAUGGAUACAUCAAUCAAAACAGAAGGAAAGGAAAUGGUUAAGGCUCAGAACUGCAGUCUACAGCAACAAUGCAACAAUGAAACCCAAUUGCAAACCUAGGUGAUGCACAAUAUCCCAAAAACAACUUCAAUUGAACAGAGACCCAACAAAACUCAAAACCAAACUUUUACAAACCCAGAAUCAAUCCAUUUUUAAACCCCCAAGUGAAUCAUAAGUUGCAUCAGAAAUUGAAAAUCUUAAGAACACCAAAAAAAAUCAAUAGAACAAUGAUUUCAUCUAGUUUUAGCCGUCUGUUGUUUUUUCAAAAUUCUCUAUCUCUAAUCUCUCUAAAAUCAAACAAUUUUAGCCCCCAAAUAAAUCAAUAUGUAUUUCAGAAGUUGAAAAUCUAAGAAAUCACAAAGAAGCACUCAAUGAAACAGUGAAAUUUUUGUGGAAUUCUUAGCUGUUUCAGAAAUUUCUAUUCUCCCCCCCUCUCCAUAAUUUUCAGCCUUUAAAUAGACAUUCAAUUUGUGUCAUUCCCAUUAUCAAAUCACCUUUUCCAUUCUUAAUUAUCCACUUAACUUAAUGCUUUUUACUUUAAUCAGUAGUGUAUUUUCAAACCCUAGCACUUAUUAGAAGCUUCCUAAAUUAGGUGAGAUUCACUUCAAACUACCCAUACAUUACCCCUUAAACUUCCGUUAAUUACUUUCAAGAAACCAGACGGAUAUGGGUCAAUCUUGACCCAAAACCUAUCAGGACUUUGAUGUGGGAUCAAGAAUGGCCUGAAGGCCCAAACAAUCAAACUAAUCCAGGCUAAAUUAAGUGUUUUUACAAAAAGAAGAAGAAAACAAUCAUUUGAAGGGUUUGAAAACUAAAACUAUCUAUAAGACUGAUUAACAACAUACAAACAUGAACUAAAAUCAAACAGACAAUUAAUAAUUUCAAAUAAAACCUAAUUCACAUCUUAACUAAGUUGUUCAAAGACAAAGAAGAGAAGAAGAAGAGGCAGAGGUGGAAUAUGCAUUAAAAUAAAAAGAAAUGAUACCGGGAAACUCACCGACUAAGCUGGAAAUCAACUUGGUACCCUGACUUUACGAUUUCAUCGCCAAAUAAUGUUAGUCACUUUUUCUUUGUCAAAACAAGUGAGUAACAUUAUUUUGUUACAAAACCAGCUCUAAAACUGGAACCAUCAUCAUCAACCUCGAGUUUUUGAUUUGGCUCUUGGAACCCGAAUUUGGGAUUUAAAAUUCGAGGGGUUUAGAACAGAUUUGAGGGAAUAUACUUGGAGAUUAGGGAGGAGGGAGGCAUGGGGAUUCCCUGGUGUUAAUUUGGGAUUGAUUGGAAGUAGCACCGCCACCGGAGAAUAUUAGGGCGACACUAGGGUUUAUCCUUUCGAAUCGAUAUUCGAAGACCUCCAGGGAUGUUCUAAAGAAAAGAAGUAGGGGUUUGGAAAUGUGAGGGUGAGAGGAGUCUAUGGUGUAUUUUUGGGGGUGAUUGGCCAUCGUCCGCCGCCGUGGACGAUUUUCGGCGGCGGAAAGCGGCAGAGUGAGGCAGUGAUUUGUUGGUCUCUGAAGAGAGACGAGAGAGAGGAGGGGGAGUGUUCUGAGGGUAGGGUCUAAUGGGUUAGGGUAUACUAAAGGGGUAAUUAAAUUAGGGCCGUUGGAUGAUGAGAAUCCAACGGCCAUGAUUGAUCUUUUAACGAAACGGGGUUGUUUGGUGUAGCAACUGGGGCGGACCGGGCAUUGGGUGGACGAGUCGGGUUGGGUAUUGGGUGAAGGCUUUUGGACCGUUCGAUCAAAUUAAUUCAAAGGCCCAGAUUGAGACGCCUGGAACAGCAUCAUUUGGUUUGAAGCUGGAGACGAACCGGGUUGGGGAAAAGUCUAGGCCGGUUUUUGGGGUGGGUUUUAGGUGUAUUUGUUCUAUUUUAUUUUGGGCUGGGGAUUUUUUGCCCAAUUCUAUUUUACCCUCUUCUAUUUAAUUCUUUUCCUCUUCUAUUUAUUUCCCAAACUAGUUUUUCAAAAUAAAAAAUAAAAUCCUAAAUUAAAUUAUAAACCCAAAUUAGCUUUAAACAUAUUAAUUAACUCUAAAUAAUAAUUAUCAUAAAUAAUUAAAUACUAAAUUAAAAGAAAUAUCAAAAAAUACAAAAAAAAUAUGUUAUUUUUUGUGAAUUUUUUCAUUUUUGUAAAUCACCUAAUUAUUAAUUAAUUCCAAAAUGUCAAACUAAAUCCUAAAUGCAAUUACAAUAUAUAUUUUUUGUAUUUUUCAUUACUAAAUAAAAUAAACAGGCACAGACAAUAUUCACACAAUGACAGAAAAUGCCACUAAAAUCCACAAAAAUCGCAAAUAAUGAAAAAAUUAUUUUGUUUUGAAUUUUCUGGGAGUAAUUCAUAUAGGGCAAAAAUCACGUGCUCACAGCUGCCCCUCUUUGCUCGGAAACAUGAAGAAUUUUUGUGCAAAAAUAAAGUGAGCGGAUACGAGCGAUUUUUGCCCGUUUGAAUACUCUGUGGAAAGCAUUUUUGAAAGAUUUGACCGAACCUAUGCUUCAAAGGUUUCCUACAUAUCAUUGGCUAUAAAGGAAUCAGGUCAAUGUAGUUCGGGAAGUUUUGGUAGCUGGGACUACCAUGAAGCUGUGGUUUCACUGUUGUUGUUGCUGCUGUUACUACUUAUUGAUCUCCUUAUUACACCAUGACAAAAUAAAGAAGCUAGACUAAGCUUAUAAUAUAUGCUUUACAAAGAUUUAUUUUCAAACUUGGUCUUUGUGACUGUUGUUGCCUUCGUUGACUUGUAUUGCCCUAUAGAAGUUCCUUUGUUGCUGACUUAAAGUGUAUUUGUGAGAUGCUUUCCCUUUCCUCCAGGCAGGCACCUCGUUGCUGAGCCUUUAAACGUCUUCCUUUGACCAUUGUUGCCUAUCUUCUGUUCUCCAGGCGGGCUCCUGAUUACUUGAACUUGAAUUGCUUCUUCCCUUCGUUCUCCAGGCGGGUUCCUGAUUACUUGAAAUUUGAAUUGUAUUCCCUUGCUCUCCAAGUGAGUGCCUGAUUGCCGAAACUUGAGGUGUACUCCCUUGCUCUCCAGGUGGGCGCCUGAUUGCUGAAGCUUGAAUUGCAUUCCCUUGUUCUUCAGGUGGGCUCCUGACUACCGGGUCUUUAACUGCUUUUCCUUGUUCUCCAGGUGGACGCCUGAUUGCUGAUACUUUAACUGUUGUUCCUUGUUCUCCAGGUGGACGCCUGAUUGCUGAUAUUUCAACCGUUAUUCCUUGUUCUUCAGGUGGAUGCCUGAUUGAUGAUAUUUCAACUGUCUUUCCUUGUUCUCCAGGUGGAUGCCUGAUUGCUGAAUCUUUAACUGCUUUUCCUUGUUCUCCAGGUGGAUGCCUGAUUUCUGAAAUUUGAAUCAUCUUCUUCUUGCAACUGCCUUUCUUUGACUUGUUCUCCCUUGUUCCUCUAGGUGGGCGUCUGAUUACCAAUACUUGUGCUAAUCUUUCUUGAAACUUGAUUUGUUUUCCCUUGUUCUCCAGGUGGGCCCCUGAUUACUUGGUCAUGCUCUGCUUUUUAUCAUUAAUAUCUGUGUUGUUCUUCCUUGUUCUUCAGAUGGGCAUCUGACUUCAGCAAAAUAGACAACAAAAGAAAAUUUCCUGCCCUAGUUUGGUAACCGGGCGCAUCUGUGAGUGUUAAUUGAAUCCUUUUACCAAAUAUCUAUAGCAAUCUGCAAGCUAUAUCCCAUUAUCCAGGAGGGUCCUUAAAAUCUCUAGUAAAUUUCCAAAGCUACAUUAUAUUUUUUAGAGGUAUGACUUCCGUCGAAUCUUGUUAUCUAAGACAGUCUUAAAGCUACAUCCCAUUAUCCAGGAGGGUUCUAAAAUUUCGAAUUAAACCUUAUCUUACGGAUGACAAUUUCAACGCUAAACUGUACUCUCUUAUAACAACACUUACUUAUCUAAUGGAAUGCUUAAAGUUACGUCCCAUUAUUCAGGUGGGUCCUGAAAACUCUUAUGCGAACUUUGAAGCCAACUUAUAUUCCUUUUGGUGCAUAUUUGUCCUAUAUUUACUACUUAUGAUUGUUUUGGAUUUUAACCUAGGUCCCAUUUUCCAGGAGUGUCCUGAAUUUUCGAAUUGAGUCUUGUCUUAAAAAAAUGAAAAAGUCAAACCAACUUAUAUUUUCACAAAGUAGAGCUUAUGCUAGAUAUUGUACUCAUGAAUAUUUCUAAUUAAAGCUAAGUCCCAUUAUCCAGGAGGGUCCUGAGAACUCCUAAUUGAAUCCUAUCUUAAAUAUGCAAACUUUGAAACCAACUUAUAUUCCUUUGGGGUACAUUUAUGCUAGAUUUUGCUAUUUACAAUUGUUUCUAUUUUUAAACUAGGUCCCAUUUUCCAGGAGGGUCCUGAGAAUUCUACAAUCAAACCUGCCUGGUACUUGUUCUCCUUAUGGAUGAUUUCCUAAAACAAAUGCCAUCUUUGCCUCUAUUUCAAAUCAAAUAAAAUCUUGUCAGUUUAAAACGUGGUGGUUCGUUGUGGCAUUCUUGCUGGGGAUGGUUUUCUCUUUGCCAUGCUUUGCUUCGACCGACUGCCUCGAACUGGUCAAAAGAUUGUUUUGACCUUCUGACUGAUCCUUAACUGCAGGAUCCCCCAAUUGUUGUUAUCCACUUCCGACCUUUCUGCCUGAACCCAUACAUCUCCCACGACAUUACUGAACCAUUCCACCGGUAUAACUUUUGCUUACACCCUAUGUCCCAAAUUUCAUCAUAUCAUCUCCGGCAUGUUCUAGCCGUAUUUUGCUUUGUGCAAUUUCGAAACUGGUAGUAAACUCUGAAAUUCCUUUUUACAAGGCUAACCUUGGAAGAGCUUUAGAGGAGUAAAAUUAACAACAAUGAAAUGCGUUGAUUUUGGGAAUUAAGAAUAAAGAAGAAAAAUCCAAAUUUGGAUGACUGUUGGAGAUAGGAAAAGAAACUUAUCUGAGGGGAGUCACUGGAACCGAUGAUCAUGGUAUGCAUUUUGGAUUAAUCAGCUCAGUCUAUUUAACCAAUCUCCUUUCCAAUUGUUUUACUUUGUACUCCAAGAUUUCCACAACUCAAUUUACUUUCCGCCAACUUACGGACCUUGUUCGACUUGCAGUGCCCUGAAGGGUUUUCACCGACAAACCUCUAUCAUUUGUUCAUUCCUCGAUUCCCUGUCGCCUCAUGGUGCCCACGAAGGUUUUCACCGAUAAGACUCUCUCAUUUUUUCUUUCUCUCAGCUUUCGUCGCCUCAUGGUGCCCAUGAGGGUUUUUACCAAUAAGACUCUCUCAUUUUUUGAUUUCUCUUGCUUAAACCGGAGUGUUGCCCCUGAUAUGAAUUCUCUUUACUUGUUUGAUUUGGCAUCUCUCAAAAACUGAUUGGGAAGUCUUUCUUUGGACAGUCAUGUGGGUUCUUGGAUAUGUUUGGAAAGAAAAGGGUAUUGAAAAGGCUCCAAGCAUCUCAAAUAGGUUAGAAUUACAACUUUUGGAAUGAGAUUUCUUAUCACAAUCACAAAUUAUGCCCCAGUUUUUUGCUUGGGGAUCUUUUGAUAUUUUAUUUUACUAUGGCCGAGUCGUGAGGCUGCCUACGUAUCCUUAGCAGGAAUCAGGUCAAACGUAGUUCACACCCGAAUUUUUUUGUUUUCUUGUACUUUCUUUUUUUUUCUUUCUUUUCUUUCUUUNNNNNNNNNNNNNNNNNNNNNNNNNNNNNNNNNNNNNNNNNNNNNNNNNNNNNNNNNNNNNNNNNNNNNNNNNNNNNNNNNNNNNNNNNNNNNNNNNNNNNNNNNNNNNNNNNNNNNNNNNNNNNNNNNNNNNNNNNNNNNNNNNNNNNNNNNNNNNNNNNNNNNNNNNNNNNNNNNNNNNNNNNNNNNNNNNNNNNNNNNNNNNNNNNNNNNNNNNNNNNNNNNNNNNNNNNNNNNNNNNNNNNNNNNNNNNNNNNNNNNNNNNNNNNNNNNNNNNNNNNNNNNNNNNNNNNNNNNNNNNNNNNNNNNNNNNNNNNNNNNNNNNNNNNNNNNNNNNNNNNNNNNNNNNNNNNNNNNNNNNNNNNNNNNNNNNNNNNNNNNNNNNNNNNNNNNNNNNNNNNNNNNNNNNNNNNNNNNNNNNNNNNNNNNNNNNNNNNNNNNNNNNNNNNNNNNNNNNNNNNNNNNNNNNNNNNNNNNNNNNNNNNNNNNNNNNNNNNNNNNNNNNNNNNNNNNNNNNNNNNNNNNNNNNNNNNNNNNNNNNNNNNNNNNNNNNNNNNNNNNNNNNNNNNNNNNNNNNNNNNNNNNNNNNNNNNNNNNNNNNNNNNNNNNNNNNNNNNNNNNNNNNNNNNNNNNNNNNNNNNNNNNNNNNNNNNNNNNNNNNNNNNNNNNNNNNNNNNNNNNNNNNNNNNNNNNNNNNNNNNNNNNNNNNNNNNNNNNNNNNNNNNNNNNNNNNNNNNNNNNNNNNNNNNNNNNNNNNNNNNNNNNNNNNNNNNNNNNNNNNNNNNNNNNNNNNNNNNNNNNNNNNNNNNNNNNNNNNNNNNNNNNNNNNNNNNNNNNNNNNNNNNNNNNNNNNNNNNNNNNNNNNNNNNNNNNNNNNNNNNNNNNNNNNNNNNNNNNNNNNNNNNNNNNNNNNNNNNNNNNNNNNNNNNNNNNNNNNNNNNNNNNNNNNNNNNNNNNNNNNNNNNNNNNNNNNNNNNNNNNNNNNNNNNNNNNNNNNNNNNNNNNNNNNNNNNNNNNNNNNNNNNNNNNNNNNNNNNNNNNNNNNNNNNNNNNNNNNNNNNNNNNNNNNNNNNNNNNNNNNNNNNNNNNNNNNNNNNNNNNNNNNNNNNNNNNNNNNNNNNNNNNNNNNNNNNNNNNNNNNNNNNNNNNNNNNNNNNNNNNNNNNNNNNNNNNNNNNNNNNNNNNNNNNNNNNNNNNNNNNNNNNNNNNNNNNNNNNNNNNNNNNNNNNNNNNNNNNNNNNNNNNNNNNNNNNNNNNNNNNNNNNNNNNNNNNNNNNNNNNNNNNNNNNNNNNNNNNNNNNNNNNNNNNNNNNNNNNNNNNNNNNNNNNNNNNNNNNNNNNNNNNNNNNNNNNNNNNNNNNNNNNNNNNNNNNNNNNNNNNNNNNNNNNNNNNNNNNNNNNNNNNNNNNNNNNNNNNNNNNNNNNNNNNNNNNNNNNNNNNNNNNNNNNNNNNNNNNNNNNNNNNNNNNNNNNNNNNNNNNNNNNNNNNNNNNNNNNNNNNNNNNNNNNNNNNNNNNNNNNNNNNNNNNNNNNNNNNNNNNNNNNNNNNNNNNNNNNNNNNNNNNNNNNNNNNNNNNNNNNNNNNNNNNNNNNNNNNNNNNNNNNNNNNNNNNNNNNNNNNNNNNNNNNNNNNNNNNNNNNNNNNNNNNNNNNNNNNNNNNNNNNNNNNNNNNNNNNNNNNNNNNNNNNNNNNNNNNNNNNNNNNNNNNNNNNNNNNNNNNNNNNNNNNNNNNNNNNNNNNNNNNNNNNNNNNNNNNNNNNNNNNNNNNNNNNNNNNNNNNNNNNNNNNNNNNNNNNNNNNNNNNNNNNNNNNNNNNNNNNNNNNNNNNNNNNNNNNNNNNNNNNNNNNNNNNNNNNNNNNNNNNNNNNAGCUGAGCCAUAACAAGAUAAUGCUGCCCUAUUUCAGAAAUAAGCACAGCCCCUAUUCCAACUCCUUUUAUGUUGACAGCCCCGUCAAAGAAAAGUUUCCAACCUGGUUUCUCAAUCUGCUGUAGUUCGUCGAUAUGCAUCACCUCUUCAUUGGGAAAAUAAGUUUUCAAUGGCUCGUACUCAUCAUCGAUCGGGUUUUUGGCCAAAUGAUCGACCAAUGCUUGGGCUUUCAUCGCAGUCCUAGUCACAUAGAUGAUGUCAAACUCUGUGAGCAAAAUCUGCCACUUCGCAAGUCUUCCUGUCGGCAUAGGCUUUUGAAUGAUAUACUUCAACGGAUCCAAGCGCGAAAUAAGGUAAGUAGUGUAGGAUGACAAAUAAUGUUUCAAUUUCUGAGCCACCCAAGUUAGGGCGCAACAUGUCCUUUCCAGGUGAGUGUACUUAACCUCAUAAGAUGUGAACUUCUUUCUAAGAUAGUAGAUGGCCUGUUCCUUUCUGCUGGUGAUGUCAUAUUGCCCCAGUACACAGCCAAAUGAGUUUUUCAGGACUUUCAAGUAAAGAAUCAAAGGUCUCCUUGGUUCUGGCGGGACCAACAUAGGUGGGUUUGACAAGUAUCCUUUUAUAUUAUCCAAUGCUUCUUGACACUCAUCAGUCCACUUGAUCCGCAACAUCCUUCUUCAGCAAUUUGAAAAUAGGCUCACAAGUUGUCGUGAGCUGAGCAAUAAACCUGCUGAUAUAGUUCAACCUCCCUAACAGACUCAUCACUUCAGUCUUGUUCCUUAGGGGUGGCAAUUCUUGGAUAGCUUUGAUCUUUGAUGGGUCCAACUCAAUGCCUCGAUAGCUGACUAUGAAUCCCAACAAUUUUCCGGAUGGAACACCAUAUGCGCACUUGGUAGGGUUUAGUUUGAGGUUGUACCUGCGAAGCCUCUGGAAAAAUUUCCUCAAGUCUCUGACGUGGUCGGCCUGCUGCUUUGACUUUAUGAUUACAUCAUCUAUGUACACCUCAAUCUCCUUGUGUAUCAUAUCAUGGAACACAGUAGUCAUUGCCCUCAUGUAAGUUGCCCCAGCAUUUUUCAAACCAAAUGGCAUUACUCGGUAAUAAUAAGUUCCCCAUGGUGUGAUGAAUGCCGUCUUUCCGCAUCUUCUUCAUCCAUUAAAAUCUGAUGAUACCCUACAUAGAAAUCCACAAAAGAUCCAAUCUCACGCUUGGUGCAAUUAUCGAUCAAAAUGUGGAUGUUGGGUAGUGGGAAAUUAUCCUUUGAACUUGCUUUUUUGAGAUUGCGGUAAUCAACGCAUAUUCUGAUCUUGAUGUCCUUCUUUGGUACUAGCACAACAUUAGCUAACCAAACGGGAUAUCGUGUGACCCGAAUGACCUUUGUAUCCAACUGCUUAGUGAUUUAUUCCUUAAUAUUCACACUCAUAUCAGUUUUGAACUUUCUCAAUUUUUGCUUGACGGGAGGGAAUGUCGGGUCAAUGGGUAACUUGUGGACCACCAAAUCAGUGCUCAAACCUGGCAUGUCAUCGUAUGACCAUGAAAAAAUAUCUUUGUAUUCAAUCAGUACUUUGAUUAUCUCUUCCCUGAUCUUUGGUUCAAGGUGGACGCUUAUUUUAGUCUCUCUGAUAUUAUAUGCGUCCCCUAAAUUGAUGGCUUCUGUAUCAUAUAGGUUGGGUUUGGGUUUUCCUUCAAAGUGAUUUAAUUCCUUACUAAUCUCUUCAAAAACCCCAUCCUCAUCAUAUUCUGAUUCGUCAUCACACUCUACUUCUUGAAUUAUUAUUUCAAAAUCAUAUUGAUGUUUAAGACUGGGCUGAGGAUUCCGCAUGCAUGCCAUGUCAUUAGAACCAGCGUAAAAAGAACUGUAUAGAAAAGAAAAGAAAAACAAAACGGAAAACUAUUAGGAAUGAUGAAGAAAUGGAAAUUGCAUUUCAUUGAAUGAUAAAAGAUAACAAGGUUUGCACACUCAAACAGACUGAAAGAUAAUAAUUUGGAUUACAACCCUGGAAUAACCCAGAUAAACUGAAAGAAAAAUCAAAGCCCACUACCAAAGCUCCUUCCGAGUAGGAAGAGGAGUAGCUUCCCAAUUACUAAUCUUUGCACUUUGCCCAACGAAUUGCACAUCCGCUUGACUUGAUCCUUCUCUAGUUUCCACCAUGUUAACAUCACUGAACAACCUCUCGAACCCCUUAGUCAAAUCUCCAUCAACAUCAAUCAAUGAACCGGGAACCGUUGUUGUUGGGUGCUUUCUGGCGCUAGGCCUAAUAAAUGAUCUGGACAGCCGCGGGAUGGGCUUUGGAAGGAACCACGCCUUUUGCCUCAACUUUAUGGAUCUUCUUACAUCCGUAGCUAUAGGCUUAAACCCCAGAACAAAGGUAUCUAGGUUUUUGGGCAGAGAUACUGGUUGUACGAUGCCCUGCAACGAAGCACCCAAACCCUUGCUAGGUACAAAGCCAUUCUUCAACAUCUCAGAUGCCACCAUGACUGACACAGUUGUUACUUUAGGAACUAGAAUGCUUUUCCCCUCUGGGAUCUUUUCAAUUGAUACUGCAUCAAAGACCUGAUAUACCCAUAGCCCUUUGUCAUAUUCAACUUCAAUGAAAGGUAUGAUGGCAUCACUUUGGGCACACAUAUUAUCCUCACCGUGCACCACAAUUUCUUGUCUGUCCCAUUCAAAUUUAACCAUCUGAUGCAAAGUAGACGUCACUGCCUUGGCAGUAUGAAUCCAGGGUCGCCCCAGCAAAAGAUUGUAAGAAACUGCCAUGUCCAACACUUCGAAUUCCAUAGUGAACUCCACAGGACCUAUUGUCAGUUCCAGUAUUAUAUCACCUACUGAAUCUUUGCCCCCGCCGUUAAACUCCCGAACACAAAUGCUAUUCUUGUGAUUCUAUCAUUGCCCACUUUCAGCUUGUUCAAUGUGGAGAGAGGGAAAAUAUUCGCACUAGACCUAUUAUCGACCAGAACUCUGCUAACCAUAGAAUCUUUGCACUUUACCGUCAGAUAAAGGGCCCUAUUAUGCUCAGUACCCUUCACGUGCAACUCAUCAUCGGAGAAAGUAACUCUAUUUGCUUCGAAGAUUUUGUUGGCUAUUUUCUCCAAAUAAUUCACGGAGAUCUUAUCGGGAACGUUCACUUCAUUCAAGAUUUUCAUUAAAGCUUGACGGUGCUCAUCCGAGUGGAUUGGUAAUGACAAUAGCAAAAUUUGAGCAGGCGUCUUUCUUAAUUGUUCCACAAUAGAGUAGUCCUGUAGCUUCAUCUUCCUCAAGAAUUCUUCUGCUUCUCCCUCAGUUACGGCCUUUUUUACCAGUGCCGGAUUAUCUUUUGUUCUUCUUAACUCCUCGAGAGUAAAACACCUUCCCGAGCGAGUCAAACCUUGGGCUUCACAGACUUCUUCUUUGACCUCCUUCACUUUGUACAUCAUUGUUACUCGUUUGUAAUUCCAUGGAAUAGCCUUGCUGUUGAUUAUUGGUAACUAGGUUACCAGCUUAAUAAUAACCCGAUCUAUGCGGGCACCUUCCACGAUUAUGACGGGUUGGCUGACCGCUCCUGGUACAAUCACCUUUAUCCCUUCCUGUUUCAUUUCAAUCUUUCUCGAAGACCUUUUUUCAACUUCCAAAGAUGGCUCAACACUCUUUUUGCUCGAUUUGAGCACCAACUUCUCACCUGCUGAUUGUUCAACUGUCUUAGACCGAAUCAUCAUGACGGUCUGUGACGAUUUCCUGGGCUUUCCCUCCGCAUCCACUAUUUCAAUCCUAUUUGCCUCCUGGUGAGCUGGCAUUGGAUUCCUGUUAAUAUUGGGUGCCUCAGGACUUGAACUUCAAUUCUAUUGGUAUCAAUAAUCUCCUGUAUCGCACUUUUCAAGUGCCAGCACUUCUCUGUAUCAUGACCCGGAGUACCAGAACAAUACUCACAGCUGACAGUAUAGUCAAGAUUCUUUGGAGGAGGAUUUGGCAGUUUGGACUAUAUCGGCCUCAGCAUAUCCAGCUGUCUUAGCUUGUGGAACAAACUAGUGUAUGACUCUCCAACGGAGUAAAGGUUUUCUUUUUCCGCAACCUUUCACCCUUGAAUGCUUGACUAGGCUGGAAACUUGGUUCUUGUGGAUGUGGAUAAGUAUUUUGUGGAGCGGGAGCAUGCCAUUGCGUGUGGGCAGGAGGUUGGUUGUAUGCUUGUGCAUGGUGGACGGAAAAAUGAGGUUCUGGUNNNNNNNNNNNNNNNNNNNNNNNNNNNNNNNNNNNNNNNNNNNNNNNNNNNNNNNNNNNNNNNNNNNNNNNNNNNNNNNNNNNNNNNNNNNNNNNNNNNNNNNNNNNNNNNNNNNNNNNNNNNNNNNNNNNNNNNNNNNNNNNNNNNNNNNNNNNNNNNNNNNNNNNNNNNNNNNNNNNNNNNNNNNNNNNNNNNNNNNNNNNNNNNNNNNNNNNNNNNNNNNNNNNNNNNNNNNNNNNNNNNNNNNNNNNNNNNNNNNNNNNNNNNNNNNNNNNNNNNNNNNNNNNNNNNNNNNNNNNNNNNNNNNNNNNNNNNNNNNNNNNNNNNNNNNNNNNNNNNNNNNNNNNNNNNNNNNNNNNNNNNNNNNNNNNNNNNNNNNNNNNNNNNNNNNNNNNNNNNNNNNNNNNNNNNNNNNNNNNNNNNNNNNNNNNNNNNNNNNNNNNNNNNNNNNNNNNNNUCAAGUAGGCUACUGGAUCACCGUGCUCGUUGUAUAGAUCAAACUUGGGCAUCUUGAAGCCUGUCGGCAAUUGCACAUUCGGAAACAGAUGUAGGUCCUUGUAGGCCACACCUACUUGUCCUCCCAAUCCCCAUAUGUCCCUGAAUGAUUAUUCUAAGCUUUUGACUUUCCUGAACAUCUCUUCCUGUUCAAGAUUUUUGGAUGGUUUAUCAGCAUCUAUCGGGAAGUCAAAAUGAGGAGCAUAGGAAUGGGUUUCUAGAGCUUUGAAAGUGGGCUCCAAGGGGUAGUAGUGGUUGUCCUGUGCCUGGAACAUUGGCUUGCUAGGAGAUUUGUGAAGUGUAACUAUUGGAGGUGCUACGAAGACAGGAGUUACUAGUGGAUGAGGGUAUGGGGAUGGAGACUGUGGCAUAUGAGAAGUGGUGCCCCGGUAGAGUUAGUAAAUGGGAAAGCUCGGGGAUAGAUCGGUGGCAAGAUGAUCCUGAGGUUGAGCCGGUGGUGGAGUGAAGGUACGUUUAGCCGGGUAAGCUGAUGGCGGUUGUCCUUUAGCCCAGGCCUUACAUUUCGGCCAUUUGUUGUUUCAAUUUGUACAUCUCUUCUUUCAUGGUAUUGACAUCCAACUAUUCCCCGUCUCUCGAAGGAUCGAUGACACUAGUGUCUACAUCUGGGAUAGACAUGAUUAUUUCACCUUUGGAUCUGGUUUGGUAUGGGUGGGUUGCCAGUAUGCUUAGAUGAACUAAGUGCUUGGAUUCUGGUAACAACAACAAAACUUGUUAGUGAUUAGAGUUUUAACAAAUAGGCAACCGCACAUAGUCAUUUCUAUCAUGUAUUUGCUAGGUUGCUUGUGUCAUCCCGUCUUUUUCUUUUUAUGACCUUUCCCUUUUAUUAUUACUCACGCCUAACUUUUAUUCCCCUCUUUUCUUUUUCCGUUGUAUUCUUUUUCUUUUGGUUGUGGUCGAAUCCUGUGGAGAUUGCCUACGUAUCAUGACCCCGUAUGAAUCAGACCGAGCGUAGUUCUGGCAUAAUAAAGUGUAAUAAUGAAUAACAAAAUAUUUUGGGAUUUUCAAUUCUUCUCAUAAAAAGGAAAUUCUUUGAAUUACAACGAUUCAAAGCUAAAAGACUCAAAAAGGAAAAUAACAGACUGAAAAAGAAAAAGAAAGGUACAGACUAAAAAAAAUCAAGAAUACAUUAAUGCUCAUGGUGCCCGCAGGACAUCAUUCGGUCUCGCCGUGGGCCUAAAUGCGAGAUCCCCUUGCAGUCGCUCCAAAUCACUUAUAACUUGGCGGACGAAAGUCAUCACUGCAGCGAAAAAGGUGGUACGAGUCAUGUCCUCGCACGCUUGGCACUUCAUGGUAAUGUAGUCAGCGAUGGUCCUGAUCUUUUCUCUAAUUCUCCCUUUUUCCUGAAGCAACCGCCCUAUCUGCUGAUUCCGGGCUUCUAACACUUGAGAGUAAUGAACGUGUUGAUUUUGCAACUGCUGUAUUCCUUCCUCUAUCUGAACCAUCAGAUCAUAACAGUGCUCCCUAUCAGCUUUGAAAUCUUUAGCCUGCUUGACUGCCUCAUUCUCGAGAGUGGCUAUCUUUCUUCUUAGGAUAGUGAUGGUCCCUUCAUCGUUCCUCUUCAUUUGUUGCACAAACCGUGCCCGCUCUUCUGCCUUCUUUGUCCAUUUUGCCCGGAUUUUUGCUAGACCAGCUUUAGAUUUUUCCAGGUCUUCUUGACACUCGAGGGCUUUCUCUUUCAGACCGCUUAUGUGUCUUUUAUUAGCCCGACUUCUUUCCGAGUUUUUGGCAGCUAUUUUCAUCUUCUGGAUCUGAGCUUUGAGGGCCUCAUUUUCCUGAGCUAGUUUUUUCUUUUCUCCCUUAUCUGCAGCAGCUUGAACACCAUUUUCAAACUGAAGCUCCAUGACUCGCCUUUCCAACUGGCUUAUUUUGGCCCUGUACUCGUUUUUUUUGGUCAGCCAGUCCCAUUGCACCUGUGCCCCAUCGGUGAAUUGUUGGACAUGGGGUCUCUUUGCAGGCCUCUCGGGGAUCUAGAAUCUUUUGUAGAACCAGACAAUGUACUUAGGGUCCACUUCACCUCUAGCUAAAUCUCGCAUCAUGGUCUUAGGUUCAAGAAACCUACAUUCAUUCCAUAUCCGACGAAUUUUCCCUUCUAGAAAUGCGGCUUUUGGGCCUAGUUCAAUGGCAUAUUUACUCAAAUCUUCAUCACUGGGAACAGUUUGAAAUCUUCCUAAUUGGCACAGAACCCUGAAGGGAGCAUAAGGCGGGAUGCUCCGGAUGCCCAUUAAGAGGAUAUAACAUACUUCAGCUGACAUGUACACUACUUCGGUGACAGGAAGUCAUCCUAAUGCCCACUCAAUUUUAUCAGCAGUCAAGGAUCUCAAAUGUUUAACCCAAGCUUUAGUGCCUUCGGGGAAUUCAAUACCUGCCACUCGGCUUCCGAAUUCUUCAAUGCAGCUCAAACCGGUCAAACCGUAAUUCAUAUACCCAACCCGGUGGCAGAGAUGCUCUUGCAUCCAUAAUUGUAGCAACAGAUUGUCGCCUUGGAAGAACUUUCCCCCUUCCCGACAGAUAGUCAAGGCUCGGUAGAUUUCAGAUAAGAUUAGAGGAACCACAAUGUUGUUGGCUUUCUUGAUUGCAACAUCGAUCAUUCCCACAAAACCUAUCUCUAUAUUACCAUCUUUUCGCGGACAAACCACAACAUCCAAGAAGGUUACCAUAAAAGCUAAACCUCGCCUUGCCUUCCAUUUGUCUUUACGUCCGGCAUAGAUUAGACCAGUGUUCGGUUCUUCAAAACCUCGGGGGUUGCCAUAUCGAUGAUACAGGAACUGGAGCGUGCAAUACCCUUCAGAUAAGUUUCUGUCCUGAAUAUCUCGACUAAUACUCAGCAAAUCCAAAAAUCUGUGGGGGGAUACCGGUCUUGGUGCUAAUGGAUAUCGACUUCUAAGGUUUCCGUUAAGGCCCGCAUAACCCACAACUUCUUCCAAUGUAGGUGUAAGCUCAAAGUCAGAAAAGCGGAACACAUUGCGAGUCGGGUCCCAAAAAGGUACUAAAGCUUCAAAUAUGUCCAACCUUGGCUUGACAUUCAAUAGUCCGACGAGGCCUCCCAGAACUUUUACCAUUGUUUCUCUAUCUCCUUUUCCUAGAUCAUUCCACCACAUGUGGAGCUUUAAGGGGAUCUCAUUAAGGACUGUGAAGGGUUCAAUUUCGUUUAUGCUCAUCCUGCACAUUUAUUAAGGUGAUUAUUUUGACCCAAAAAGAAAAAGUAACACCAUUUUUCAAAAAAAAAAUUUAUUUCAAAAACAAACUCGGCUUCGCAAAUACGGCAUUUCAGCACUUCGGGGAAAAAGAUUUUAAGGCUGUGCCUGCUAAAUGUUAAAAAUGACCCAAGGUGGCUGCUCUUGCAAAAACAGCCUUCCGGCGCCCUUUUGGGGACAUUCCGCUUAUUUUAAACAAGAAUGGCAUCACCCGACUUAUUUGUGACACUAAAUUAAAAUUUUGUAUUUUGGCUAUUCUUGCAAAAGGGAAAGUUGGACCCGAUGAAGGUUGCCUACGUAUCCCACAUCCGGUGAGAAUCAAACUGGCGUAAUUCAGGACUAAAUAAAACUUAUUUUUGUAAAAUAAAACUCUUUUUUUUUCAUUUCAUUUUUCUCAAAAAAAAAUUCGGCUGAGUUUCAGUACUAUUUGGACAUUGAAUUUUUCAAAACAGGUGGUUUACUCACUCAACCCUUAUACCGCUAUUUUCCUUUCCAAUUUUUCUCUCAUCUUUCAAAAGUCGGUCAGCAUGCGAACCCAAAGCAAAUAAAUGCACAAGUAGUACGUGAAAUAUGCAUCAGUAUGGUCUUUGAUUAUGGGUACACCUGUCCUAGAUGGACCCAACCCCUGUGUUGAGUCCCCUAAGUCAAAUGCACAUGAUACAAUCAAAUUUUCCUACUAGGGAUCCGUCAUGAGGCUGAGUUAUUCUAGGUUUAAAACCUGGGUUUAUUGUUCUAGACUUGGCUUACCCGAGCAGACAACUCGAGCCGAGAAGGGGGACGCGUACCGAGAAUACAGAAGCUUCCUCGGCUUUGCAACUUGUCCGAAGCUCAUUCUAAAAUGGGAUAAGACUCGAGACAAAAGAGAAGCCACACGAAGUGUACCCUUAUCCAUGAUUUAGAAGACUCAAAAAGAGGGAGGAUUUUGUAGCAGUUUAUAUAUACAGUUCAACCAUAUCAAAGGGGUAAAAGCAACAUUUAGCAUAUUAAGUCCACAAACUACAGUAAUAUCAACAAGAAAGGCAAAUAAAAAUUGCAUUAACAAGCUUGAAUUCAUGAACCCUGAACCGGAAGUUCUGGGUUCUUAUCCCCAGCAGAGUCGCCAGAGCUGUCACACCUCCUUUUUUCUACCCACCUGUAAGGGAUAUAAGGGAGUUUUUCUAAUUAAAGGACAAUCGAAAUGGUAUUGUUUAUUAAGAGAUUCAGAGUCGCCACUUGGAAUAAUUUAUGGCAUCCCAAGUCACCGGUUUAAAUCCCGAAUCGAGGAAAGAUUGACUCUGUCUAACAGUCCGUGAACCAGAAAUCCGGGUAAGGAAUUCUGUUAACCCAGGAGAAGGUGUUAGGCAUUCCCGAGUUCCAUGAUUCUAUCACAGUCGCUCAACUGUUAUAUUCGGCUUAAUUAUCUUAUUUUAAAAUAUUUUUGAACCUAUGUGCAAAUUUUAACUUUUAACCACUUUUAUUCAUUUUAAAGAAGAUUUAACGUCGUUUAAAACAUGUCUUUGGAUCGCGCCACAUGAAAUGUACACGCAAUCGGAAACACAUUUUAUUCAACGUUGCGAGAUUUAGAGUUUGGUCACAUGAAAUGCACACCCUAGUUUAGGAAGGUAAUAUUAUUGAAUAUACGCGCCUAGAGCAACUACGCGUUUUUAACUUUGCAAGGGCCAUGAAAAUUUGCUAAAUGGCACGCCUCGAAUUCUAAGUAUUUUAAAAGAAAUAAUUAAGCGAGGACCACGCAUUUGAGAUUUUAUGUGUGGCAUGGCGCACCUCAAUUUAUUCUAAUUAGAGCGUUGCUAAACUAAUGCAUGAGGACCAUAAGUUGUUAUUAGUUUUGAAUGGCACACCUCCAUUAUUUUACAAGGAGUUAACUAAAUUAAACCACAUGGAACAAUUAUAAUUAUGAGUGCAAAAAUUUCAAACUCAAUGCUUAGAACUCGUAUGUUAACAAUUUGUGACAGCAGAUUGAAUUCAUAAAACCAAACCCAAGUGGGUUAUGGACUCAUAACCUACCUAAAUGUCAAUAAGCAAGAAAACCAAAAUAGACUUAAACGUAAAGCCCCGAAACUGCAAUGUACCCAGUAGAGGAAGUUCGACAAAACUGGGCCAAUGUUGUAGCCCAGUCCGAAACUGUGAGCAUUAGUUGCUACAAGAGAUCCAUGUUGAAAAAUGCAAAUUUAACAACCUAACUAUUACCAAUUUAUAGCCUAUUUCAUCAUUUUAAACCAAAAUAAGUUUCCGAUAUGUUCCCUCCAACUGCUGGAUUCAUACUAACAGACCAAAAUUCAGAUUCACAUUCCAUUCACGAUUUUAUUAAACUUCCAAGAUUGCUUAUGCGUAAAAAAAAUAGCAGGCUUACGUGAGAAAACCAAAACAUUGGACUAUACUUCAAAUCAUUUGCAAGAAAAUCUAAAGGAAUGAUUAAGAGGGAGAUAACAUUAAACGAAACUGCUGAGCCCAUAACACAAGCAAACCAAACUAGUAGCGUCCCAUUAUAUAUGUUAGGCUAGAAUGAAAUUUUGAAUAAGUCAUAGUCAAAGGAGACCUCAGCUCCAGCCUUAGAACAACAGAUGAUACCCAACGACUACAUCUAAGAAGCUAAACUAUAAUGGACACUAAACUAAAGCACGGUAAGGUCACAUAGCUAAGAAAUAACAAGGAAUUAGCACUUUGACAAUUUCUUCAACUUGAAUUAAAUAACUCGAACCAGAGCUUAGCUAAAACUUCAUUUCCAUUCAUGGUGUGAAGAAAGUAACUGGAUACAGCAAUCAAAACAGAAGGAAAGGAAAUGGUUAAGGCUCAGAACUACAGUCUACAACAACAAUGCAACAAUGAAACCCAAUUGCAAACCAAGGUGAUGCACAAUAUCCCAAAACCAGCUUCAAUUGAACAGAGACCCAGCAAAACUCAAAACCAAACUUUUACAAACCCAGAAUCAAUCCAUUUUUAAACACCCAAGUGAAUCAGAAGUUGCAUCAGAAAUUGAAAAUCUUAAGAAUCACCAAAAAAAUCAAUAGAACAAUGAUUUCAUCUAGUUUUAGCCGUCUGUUAUUUUUUCAGAAUUCUCUAUCUCUAAUAUCUCAAAAAUCAAACAAUUUCAGCCCCCAAAUAAAUCAAUAUGCAUUUCAGAAGUUGAUAAUCUAAGAAAUCACAAAGAAGCACUCAAUGAAAAAGUGAAAUUUUUGUGGAAUUCUUAGCUGUUUCAGAAAUUUCUAUUCUCCCCCGCUGUCCAUAAUUUUCAUCCUUUAAAUAGGCAUUCAAUUAGUGUCAUUCCCAUUAUCAAAUCACCUUUUCCAUUCUUAAUUAUCCACUUAACUUAAUACUUUUUACUUUAAUCAGUAGUGCAUUUUCAAACCCUACCAUUUAUUAGAAGCUUCCUAAAUUAGGUGAGAUUCACUUCAAACUACCCCUACAUUACCCCUUAAACUUCCGUUAAUUACUUUCAAGAAACCAGAUGGAUAUGGGUCAAUCUUGACCCAAAACCUAUCAGGCCUUUAAUGUGGGAUCAAGAAUAGCAUGAGGCCCAAACAAUCAAACUGAUCCAGGCCAAAUUCAGUGCUUUUACAAAAAGCAGAAGAAAACAAUCAUUUGAAGGGUUCGUAAACUAUGUCUAUUAGACUGAUUAACAACAUACAAACAUGAACUAAAAUCAAACGGACAAUUAACAAUUUCAAAUAAAACCUAAUUCACAUCUUAACUAAGUUUUUCAAAGACAAAGAAGAGAAGAAGAAGACACAGAGGUGGAAUAGGCAUUAAAAUAAAAAGAAAUGAUACCGGGAAACUCACCGACUAAGAUGGAAAUCAACUUGGUGUCCUGACUUUCCAAUUUCACCGCCAAAUAAUGUUAGUCACUUGUUCUUUGUCAAAACAAGUGAGUAACAUUAUUUUGUGACAAAACCAGCUCUAAAACUGGAACCAUCAUCAUCAACCUCGAGUUUUAGGUUUGGCUCUUGGAACCCAGAUUUGGGAUUUAAGAUUCGAUUGGUUUAGAACGGAUUUGAGGGAAAAUACUUAGAAAUUAGGGAGGAGGGAGGUAUGGGGAUUCCCUAGUGUUAAUUUGGGAUUGAUUGGAAGUGGCGCCGCCACCGGAGAAUAUUAGGGCGGUGCUAGGGUUCAUCCCUUUAAAUCGAUAUUCAAGAGCUCCAAGGAUGUUCGAAAGAAAUGAAGUAGGGGUUUGUAAAGGGGAGGGUGAGAGGAGUCUAUGGUGUAUUUUUGGGGGUGAUUGGGCACCGUCCGCCGCCGUGGACAAUUUCCGGCGGGCAGAAAGCGGCGGAGUGAGGCGAUGAUUUAUUAGUCUCUGAAGAGAGAUGAGUGAGAGGGGGGGAGGGGGUUCUGAGGGUAGGGUCUAAUGGGUUAGGGUAUACUAAAGGGGUAAUUAAAUUAGGGCCGUUGGAUGAUGAGAAUCCAACGGCCAUGAUUGAUCUUUUAACGAAACAGGGUUGUUUGGUGUAGCAACUAGGGCGGACUGGGCAUUGGGUGGACGGGUCGGGUUGGGUAUUGGGUGAAAGCUUUUGGACCGUUCGAUCAAAUUAAUUCAAAUGCCCAAAUUGAGACGCCUGGAACGACGUCAUUUGGUUUGAAGCUGGAGACGUACCGGGUUGGGGAAAAGUCUGGGCUGGUUUUUGGGGUGGGUUUUAGGUGUAUUUGUUCUAUUUUGUUUUGGGCUAGGGAUUUUUGGCCCAAUUCUAUUUUACACUCUUCUAUUUAAUUCUUUUCCUCUUCUAUUUAUUUCCCAAACUAUUUUUUCAAAAUAAAAAAUAAAAUCCUAAAUUAAAUUAUAAACCCAAAUUAGCUUUAAACAUAUUAAUUAACUCUAAAUAAUAAUUAUCAUAAAUAAUCAAAAUACUAAAUUAAAAGAAAUCAAAAAAUACAAAAAAAUAUGUUAUUUUUGUGAAGUUUUUCAUUUUUGUAAAAUACCUAAUUAUUAAUUAAUUCCAAAAUGUCAAACUAAAUCCUAAAUGCAAUUACAAUAUAUAUUUUUUGUAUUUUUCAUUACUAAAUAAAAUAAACAGGCACAAACAAUAUUCACACAACAACAGAAAAUGCCACUAAAAUCCACAAAAAUCGCAAAUAAUGAAAAAAUUAUUUUGUUUUGAAUUUUCUGGGAGUAAUUCGUAUAGGGCAAAAAUCACGUUCUCACAUUAGGUGUGGAAAUUCUGGUAUUCGUGAGGCUCAGAGACUGAAUGUUCUUGUUGGCAGACUAUCCCUUGAUUGCGAGUUGUGAGGGAAUGGAGAAGAUUGGAUGAUUAAUGGUAGGUAUUAUGGAAAGGUUGCUAUAGAAUUCUGGAAGGUUUAUUGCAUGUUCGAGGAAGAUCGAAAUUUGGUUUGGGGAUUACUAAUGAGAGUGUGUAUUUUGUAUCAGAUCAGACCUAUUUGUUUUGUGCAGUUGUUGCCAUGUGUAUAUCAUCAGGUGGAAUGGAUGUCAUUCACGCCUUGGUUUAUGUUAUAUGUUUCUCUCUUAUACUAUGGGGGGAUUGUGAGGAUAUAAUGAUUCUUUGCACGCAUACUGUGAUUCAGUUUAGACUUCAUGGCACUAUGGGCGAGGUGGCCUAUGUGAUGUUGAUUUGCUUAUUGCACCAUAGUUGUGCUUGUCCUUCUCAGUAUUGUUUGUUCCUAAUAAUUUUUCCCAUAAUUAUAUUUUUGUGCACUCUAUUGUGCUUGAUGUUGACGCACAUGUGAUCAGUGAGCCCGGGUAUAAUGGCAUGAAGGGUACCUUAUGUGGAUUGAUAUGAUGAGAUCGGGUUGCACGCCGCAACAGUACAAUGAUGAAAAGUGACUCCUUAUUUUUAUUUCGUGUAUUUUGCUUUCAUCUUGUUGAGGAUAGUGAUGAUACCCAGUUUUUCCCUCAUAUAUUUUAACAUGCAUAUAUAUUUUCAAAAAUAGUGCACAUGCAUUUACAGACAUGCAAAAGGAUUUCUAUAUUUUUUCCAUAAUUUUAAAGGCUUUCAACCAAUUUAUUUCUGCAUUUUUACAAUACAAAUAUUCAAUAAUUAUACCUCAUAUUAUUUUUAUGAUGAUUUAGCCAUUUAAAUACAUCAUUUUUGUCCAUAUAGUGUUUAAAUAUUUUAAUUGCAUUUUUUAAGGCUAGAGUUACACAUUUUUGCAAUAAUAGCCUAUAUAUAUGCAUAAUUAUAUUAUUUACAUGGAAAAUGACUUUUUAUAUUUUUAUAAUAUUAAGUAAUUAUUUUGAAUCAUUUACAUGCACAGAUGAUAUUUUUAGCAUUUAUAAAUCAUUUUAUAAAAUUAUUUUACUAAAUUAAAUGGGUAUUUAAAACAUAGCUUUUUUUUUUCAAAAUUUCGGACCUAGCCCAAAACUACCCUAGCCCACUUAAAUAUAACCCAUAACGCAAUCUCCAAAUAACCCAUCCCAACCCAGAUGGAAUCCUAGCCGUUGAUAUCAAAAGAUCAACGGUUCAGGAUCCAUUUCCUUUUUUAUUAACCAAACGACCCCCCAAGCCCUACCCAUUUUCUCAAACACCGCUGCUCCUGAAUUCCUACCUCCUAUCUUCUCUCUCAACCUCUCCCAAACCUUAGCCUACCAUCACCUGAACCCCUUCAAUCCAUGGGGGUUCUCUUCGAUCUUAGGCCCUAUCCGGCCUCUUAUCUCUAAUGGUUGUUCAAUCUCUUUGUUAUUUGAUGGAAUCUUAAAGGGAUUCGAACAAAUUUGGUUCAAAUUCCUCAAUCUUCGGAUGAAUCUGUCUGUAUUCACCAUUUGUUUGUGAGUAUUGUCACUUUUGUAUUUUCGUUGCUUCAAAUCUCCUUAGCUGGUAUGCCUCCAUUUGUGUUAUCAUGUCCUCUUCUAUAUGCUAUGUAGUUAGACUUCAACAUGAUUCUGUUUUCCCUAUGUCUUCCUGUUUACUACUCUCUUAACUAAUAUGCCUCAAUUUUUAUUACCAUGCUCUAUUCUAUAUGCUAUAUAGUCAGUUCACAAUAGACAUCAACAUGUCUCUGUUUCAUGUUUGUUUCUCUCUGAACUAGCAUACCUCAAUUCCUGUUAACCUACCCUAUUCUAUAUGCUAGUAUGGAUAGUUUACCUUAACAUGUUUCUGUUUGAUCCAUGAUUUCUGUGUACUUCUUUCUAGACUAGUAUGCUUUAAUUUCCUACUAUCCUGCUCUAUGUGUUCGUUUGUUUGGUUAUCUUAACUUCAGCAUGCUUCUGUUCAAUAUAUGUCUACAUGUUUCCAUAUAGUGGUAAUUAAUAAGCCAAAUCAACCUCAGACAUUUGAAACCUUGUUGAUUCAAUUGUAUGCCUCUAUGAUACUGCAAAUAUGUAUAGUCAGUUCUAUUUGUAACUCAAGUGCCCAUGCUCUUUUGUGAUUGCUUUAGUUGACGCAGUAUUCAUACCAAUCUGUUUGGAUUCUGCUUGUCUAUGUAGAAUUCUAUUUCUGUUUGCUCCUGAAGAAAGACUGUUUUCUAAAAAACUAUCCCCUACCCCUUGCAUGUACUACCCUUUCAAAUUUUCACUCUUAGCUACCUAGGUUCCUACUACCUCCAAUGUGAGCACUGCCUACAGUCCCUAAGACUCCUUUGAACUCUGACACAUUGGAGAUGGAUUCCAAUCUCUUAUGAAUCCUGUGUUGAAUGUAUGGGUCCAGUGUGAGCAUUGCCCAGGAUCCUUGAGGCUCUUUGGGAACUUUGACAUACUGGAAGCAUGACUUAAGGUGUUAUGGAUCCUGCCACCUAUGUAUGUAUAUCAGACUUGCUUGCUUGAAGGCAUGGUUUCCAGGAUUGAUGUUGGGCCUUCCAAGGCUCCCUAUAGUGCAAUGAAUAACUUUGUGUAGUUCAUUCAUAUUGGUGUAUAAUAAUAAUCUUCGUAAAAAUGGAUUUUGGGGUUAUUAGUAAAUGGGGGGUCUAUUCUUACGUCUCUGUUGAAAUUGGGUAGGAAUCCUGCCUAUAGUACUUGAUUAUGCUGAUUGCAUUAUGUGAUAUUUAGAGAUCCUGCCUAUAGGAUUUUUUGAUUGUUUGACACUAUGCUGCACAUCUGCAUGUUAGAAAUCCUGCACAGUAGAAAUCCUUUUUAUAGGAUCUACACGUAUUUUCAAUUCAAUACACAGUAAUGACCAUGUCUAUAGGAUCUUGUCUGUUUGAAUAACCAUUUUCCCGGCAAUGUGCUUAAAGAAUUCUGCCUACGCAUGAGUAAUAGAGAUCCUGCCUAUAGGAACUAAAGUCACCUAGAUACCAUGCCUAUAGGAAAUAAGAUAAUCAAUUCUGCAUAUAGUUAUCAUGCCUUAGGAAAUAUCAGUUUUGCGCUUAGAUAUCAUGCCUAUAGUAAAUAAGCAUAAAAACACUUUCAACACUUAGAUAUCAUGCCUAUAGGAAAUACAUAUAAAAUUAGGUCUUGACACUUAGACGUCAUGACUAUAGGAAGUAAGUGUAAAAAACCAGUGUCUGUGUUUAGGUAUCAUGUCUAUAAGAAAUAAUGCUAUAAGCAGUUUCAACACUUAGAAAGCAUGCCUGUAGGAUUUAAAGAUAAAAAUCUGCCUAUUAAAAUCAACAAUUGGUUUGUAGCUUAGAUGUCGUGCUACAGGGUUCCGCCCGAUUAUCACUUAGGCUGGCCUAUAGGUUAAUUAAAAUUCUGGGUCUAAAACUGUGAUUGCUUGUUUGAAAUAUGCCCGGAAUCAGAGUAUUAACCAUAUUAGCAGGUAAACCGAUAGGUACUCGUCUACUCGCUUUAAGAUUGUUGUAUAUUCUAUUUUUGUGCUCAUUUAGACAUCCUGCGUAUAGGAUCCUAAAAUCAUUUAAAAUUGCUUAAUUGAACAACGUGCAUUUGUUUGUCUAUUUGUGGAGGUUAACAUGAUCCCACUUAAUUGCUUCUUAUGUGACAGUCCUACUUGCCUUUUUCUUGUCGCUGAGUUUUCUCCUUUUAAAAAACAUAGGUAAGUCUAGAACCGCCUUAAAUAGAGGCCCUAAACACUUCCAGGGUCAGAGGUAAGGGACGUGUAGUGCAUGCAUAAGGUACAUACUGGAUGCUAUUAUAACACUUAGGUAAUAAUUUAAAAGGGGAGGGUAAUUGGGUAGUAAAAGAAAAUGAUGACCUGUGCGCUAAUGCUAUGAGUAGCACCCCAACUUGGGGACGUUUGCCAAGUAUUGCACAGAAGUGAUACUAUAGGCUAAAAAACCUAGGACCCCCUUUUACUCCUUGUUUUAAAAGUAAUAUCUAUUUGUUUAAAUUGCUGUAUUUCCUUGUAAGACUAAUUCGCUUAAAUUGAGUUUGGCCGGGACCCACCGUUGUGGACCUCGAGGGGUGCCUAAACCUUCCCCUCAAGGUAAUUUCGAGACCUUACCCAAUCUCUGGUAACGUGAACUGGUUUCACGAGUUAAUUGUUCUAGGUUCCCUAACGCACCUAAUCCAUUAGGCGGCGACUCUUCAAUUCUCAUAAACAAUUCCCAAAAGGAAAGGAGUUGCCCCGAAAUGUCGAAACUCGGACUCUGCGAGGAAGAAGGGGGCGCGACAGCAUGGCGACUCUGCUGGGGAAAUUUUUAGGCUCUUACCAUAAGAAACUUGUUUUUUGUGAAUUAGUCUUAAGCAUGCUUUAUUUUGUUAAUACAUUUGCACCCUUUCCCCUUUGCCCCUUAUUUGGAUUUAAUUGCCAAUUUUUCAAGCAUUUAUGAUUUUCUUUAUUAUAGAAACUGACUUAUCUCCUUGUUUUCUUUCUUAAACGUCUUUCAAUUAUUAAAUAUCACAUUUAUCAUUAUUUUUAACGCGCAAAUACGUGACAACAUGCUAUUUAUUGUUGCAUAAAUCAUACUCGACAUCAUAUUCCACUCGUGCGUAAUCAAUCCUGUAGCAACACUUGAUGAGUGUUUGCGCCCUUCCCAUAUAUCACCCUUUAAAUUCGGAAAAGCGUAUUUGCGGUAAAACAAAUCGAUCAACGGUGCAGUCGAUGGUUCCGUGCCUUUCCCCCUCAAGUUGUCCAUUUGAGGGUGCCGGUCUAGACCUCUAUAGAAACCUUACUCUGAUUAAUUGAACAUGUAUCAUGGUCAAACCUAGCUGGGUUAAUAUGUUGUCCACAUAAUAACCCUUUAAGACAAGCCUUGUCCAAAUGUACAUUAGGUUUUCUAUAAUCCCAACGAAUGCAACCACGAUUGUGUGCAUUAAUUUUGGAGAAAUAAGUGCCAAUAUGCUAAUCAUUGUUAUAUAAAUAGUCAGAUCUGGGGGGGGGGGGAAGGGCCUAACCAUAUUUGUUUUGCAGAAAAUUAGGCACAAAGUCCCCAAGUUCGGCAUGGUCCAUAACAUACCACCAAUGUUGCUAGAUUGGUGGGAGGAUCUUCCAUUAAGUGAUAAGAAUCAUGUGAAAAGGGUCUUGGAAAGUUUUCCUUCUUUAUUGGACCUCCAGCCAAACAACAUGUUAAUCGAAGCUGCCAUAGUGUUCUAGGACAAAGAAAAAGUCAUGUUUCAGUUUGGAAACAUAGAAAUGACCCCUCUCUUGGAAGAAAUAGGGGGAUUCGCUGGGCUACCUUGGGAUAGUCCUAGUUUAUUGGUGCUGAAAAAUCGCACUACUAGGGGGUUUCUGAAGAUGAUGGGAUUAAAGAAGUGAUGACUUGGAGUGCUUGAAAAAUUCCUACAUACCCUCCGACUUCCUCUAUGAACGAUACGGUCACAACAGAGCUUAUUGUAUUUUUGAUGACGAAUUCUCCAUCACUUCCUUGGGUUGGAUUCAUCGUAGAGUUUGUGUUCAUCGUCUGUUUCUUGGGUAUGUUAGUGUUCCCGAUCUAAGGGGACAUAAUCCACACCAGACUGGCCACAUAGCCAAAAAAAUGAUGGAUAGGAUCGAGGGGCAGACAUAUAUCAUUGUCCCUAUGAUCAUAGAAGACAUGUACCGGGCCUUAGAGCACUGUCAGAAGGGGUACAAAUACUUCGAAAGUUGUAAUCUGCUGUUACAAGUUUGGUUGUUAGAGCAUCUCCCAAAAGGUCAAUACAGUCAAGAGCUUCCGCGAAGGCCGUGGAAUGACCACAUAGCUUUCCAUCAUCCUAAGAGGAUGACUUAUAUCCCAGAUAGGUUUUCUCAACCCGAAAAUACUAUAGGAUGGGCGCAGUUUUUCAGCAAUUUGACUGAGGAUCAGGUUCAAUGGAUGUUCGAAUGGUUCCCUACCGAUGAGUUCAUCAUUAGAUCUAGGGGGUUGAGGGACAUAUACCCUUAUGCUCCCAUCUGGGUUAUGAGACAGGUAGGCAAGAAGUAGGUCAUACUGCGAGUUGCUAAAAUGAGUCACUACAGGGCAGAUUUUCAGGAUGACGACGUCCCAUACAAAUGUGAAGAUCAGCACAUGUAGCAUUUGAAAAUUAUAGUGGAUAAGGACACCAUCGAGCUAGAUCGAUAUCAUGCUGGUCAUGUGUACUUUUACCCAUCAUGGUUAGAAGAUAACAUAGCAGGAAUAUUCAAGCCAAGGGUUGGUCCAGGAAAUAGAUUCAUAGUUGAAGUUGCCGAGGCACAAGUGAAGUAUAACAAACUGCACAAAAGUGUUAACAAGUCCGAGGCCGAGCAUCUAGAGCGACACAAGACCGAUAUGGAACUAAUUAAUGAAUGGAAGGAGAUGGCUGUUAAAUCAAGCGAAAGGUGGAAUAUCUGGAGUACAGUCUAAUGGAAUUGGAUGGAAAAAUGAGGAAGAGAGUCACCGAUUGCCGGAACGCCGAAGGAAGCCAAUGAGGACAUCUAGCAAGGACAUACCUACUAUCGAUCCUGCGCGAAAUGGGGAAUUUGAUCAACGAAGCCAAAAACAUCUAGCCUGGAGAAGGUCCUUCUGGGACCAAGUAGAUUAGGUUUAUUUGAUUUUUCAAAUGUAAUAAGGACAAAUGCCAUCAGUGACUUAUCUUAUUUAGUGUCGUAUUAGAUUCAUGUAUUUUUACAUAAAUGAAAUGAGUCAAUUAUUGGCACUGAAAUUCUCCGAAUCUAUUUAUCGCUAGGCCUACCUCGGGUACAACGAGGCUCCCAAAUUAGGACGCAGAUUUACAUUCCUGCAAUAUGUAUUUAAAUACUGCAAACAUUUUUUGAAUCAUUACUGAUUAGUUUACCUUUUGUUUUUUUAUUUUUAUUAUUACCAUCCCCUAAGGUUGGUUCGCACAUACUGGCAUCAUCAGCAUAUCACACCAGAUCUAAAGGCCCUCCACGUCCUCUUCCUCCGAGUAAUCCAAAAAGCAGAGGAAAAGAUAAGAUAGAUGAUUUAAGUGGUAUUCGAAAAAAAAAAUGCUGAGAAUAUUAAAACUUCAGACGGUCGGAGUACUCCGGCACAGAAUGAUUUUGUCCUACGAUUAGAGCAGAAAAUACUGAAAUUACAAGGAGAACUUAAGCAGGCCCGCAACUUGGCAAACUUCUCCCUCACUCUGAACGUCCCAAAUGUUAACCAACAAAAUCUUAAAACCCAGCAACUCCUCAAAAUACGCCAAACCAAUGUCCAUAAAAUUCUCCCGCACCCCAUCAAUACGCCACACGACCUCAAAAUCCCAAUCCUCUACCGGUACCAACUCCUCCACAACACCAUAAUCAACCAACCAAGUACCCACAAACCACUACCUAUCACUCUCCUCAGAACACACCACAAACUAUUCCCGAUCCUCAAAACUCGACCAACGACCAUCACUAUACCCAAAUCCAUAGCACCCACCAAAACAACCCCAUAUACGUGGAAACCUUACCUCACUCUACUCAACCAAUCUCCUAUACACCAGAAUCCGCUGAGAAGGACCUGCUCAUCAAGAACAUGGCCGAGGAGCUCAAGAAGUUAACAAGUCGAGUUUAGGGUGUUAAAGGAGGUAAAUGGAUAAAAGUUCUAAACUAUGAGGAUUUAUGCAUACAACCAGAUGUGGAACUGCUGAAGGGUUACAAACCUCCCAAGUUCGAAAUGUUUGAUGGAACGAGUGAUCCCAAGGUUCAUUUGAGAACUUAUUGUGACAAGCUCGUGGGGCUCGGAAAGGAUGAAAGGAUUCAAAUAAGGCUCUUCAUGUGAAGUCUUACCGGAGAGGCCCUGUCCUGGUACAUAAGCCAGAAUCCUAAGAAAUAGGCUAAUUGGGUGAGCAUGGCAUCAGACUUUAUAGACCAGUUCAGGUUAAAUAUGGAGAAUGCACCAGAUGUCUUCUAUAUCCAGAACCUAAAGAAGAAGCCAACUGAGACUUUCCGCGAGUAUGGUACUCGGUGGAGGUCAAAAGUAGCCAAGGUCAAACCAGCAUUAGAAGAGGAACAGAUGAACAAGUUCUUUGUCCGGGCACAUGACCCAAAGUAUUAUGAAAGGCUAAUGGUUAUUGAGAAUCAUAAGUUCUCUAAUAUCAUCAAACUCGGAGAGAGUAUUGAAGAGGGCAUUAAAAGCGGGAUGGUGACAAAUUUUGAGGUACUGCAGUCUAUGAACAAAACAUUGAAAUCAGGUGGCAUAUAAAGAAGAAAGAAGUAGGGGCAGUAAUGGUGGCCCAAGGGCCAAAAUCUCCACUCACAUACUAAACACUUCCACUUACAUACCAACCCUCACCUCCAGAUACUUUCUACGUGCCACCGUGUAUCACACUUAUAACACCUAGCCAGCCUACUAUCAUUCACCUUAAACUCGUCGAAAUUACUAGAAACCCUGACCUAAUUUUGAUCGCAAACCACCCAGACAAUACACCGCCAUUUCUGAACCCAUCGACCAGCUGUAUGAAAGAUUAAAGGCUGCUGGUUAUGUCACCCCUAUUCCCACGGUGGCAAUGGAGAAUUCAUCUCAAUGGGUCAACCCGAAUAAAACCUAUGCAUAUCAUUCCAGUAUGAAGGGGCACACUAUUGACGAGUGCCGGACACUAAAUGAUAAGAUUCAGAUGUUGAUUGAUAACAAGGUCAUAUAGGCGAAGAAAGCUGCACUUCCAGAUCAUAGGGCGAAUGGAUCAAUGUGAUUGAAACUGAUGAGGAGUGGGAUCCUGAGGGAUCAAUUGGACUUAUCAAAGAGGGAGACGAUCCUAAAAAGCCCUCAGUCAUGCUCAAUCCUAUUGUGGUCCAGGUAUAGUUUCCAGUUGAGGUUGAGGUAACCGUAUUGGUUCCAUUUGAGGUAGAAGUAACACCACCUGCAGCCACACCUAUUCCAUUUAAGGUAGAAGUGGCCACACCUUUCACAGUGACAGUAGCAACCACACCUCCUUUCAAGUCCAAAACCAUACCUUGGGGUAACAUUGCGAAGCUAGGUGAAAAGGAAUAGCAAAGAUGGAAGCAUCUGGUGCCGCACAGGAAAUGACCAGAACUGGAAGGAUCUAUACACUCGGAAAUUUGGGAGGACAAAGCAAGGAGGCUGCUACCAAACAACCUGUCAUUGAAACAGGACCGGACGAUCUUUGGAGGAAAGUACAAGCGAGGGAAUAUUCUGUCGUCGAUCAUUUAAACAAGACCCCCGCCUAGAUAACCAUCCUAUUACUAUUGCAAAAUUCAGAGGCUCAUAAGAAUGCUCUGAUGAAGGUGUUGAAUGAAGCUUAUGUGCCCAACAAUAUCACCAGUGGAGAGAUGACCAACAUGGUAGGGCAAAUAAUGGAAAGUCACAAGAUCACCUUCCACGAGGAUGAACUACCGCCUGAAGGGUUAAGUCACCAAAAGGGCACUGCAUAUCACGGUACAGUUUGAUGACAAAUUCAUUUCCAGGGUCCUAAUAGAUGGGGGUUCAAGCCGCAACAUUUGUCCAUUGACUACUCUAAAAAGAUUGGGAAAAGAUUUCCAUGUGUUACGGGCAGGAAGUAUGAACGUGAAAGCAUUUGAUGGGUCUCAAAGGGCCAUGAUUGGAGAGAUUAAACUUUCUCUACGGAUGGGACCAACUUGGUUUGAUGUUGAGUUCCAAGUACUAGACAUAUCAGCUACAUACAAUCCUCUAUUGGGUCGACCCUGGAUACAUGUCGCUGGGGCCGUAGCUUCCACGCUACACCAGGUGGUAAAGUUCGAAUGGAACCAUCGGAGGUAAUCAUUCACGGAGAUGGAAGUAACCCCAUUUAUACCAGUCAAACUAUCCAGGUUAUCGAGAAUAGAAGAAGGCUGGGUGGAAAAACUUAUCACCAUAUUGAACAUGUCAACGCAAUUGAGAAGGACAAGUGGUAGAGUAACAAAAUAGAAAGUAUACUAGCAUGGUCUGGGUAUGAACCCGACAAAGGGCUUGGGAAGGAACUCCAAGGCAUUACCAAACCGAUACAGUUGAAAGGUCACGACACAACUUUCGGGCUGGGAUAUCCAUACACCUGGCAAGAAUAUGAUGAUUGGUCACCUCCAUGGUAUGGUCCUUAUUACCCUCUCGAGCAGCCAGUACCACACCUAAGUCAGACUUUUCACCUGGCCAAUACAAUAUGGGGAUCUGCAGAGGAAGAAGCUUUGGCUAGGUUGAGAAACUUGUUCCUGGAAGACGAGAAUAUGGAUUGCAAUGUGAUAAUUGAGGAGGAGGAGGAAGAAUAAGGCCUCACCAUUCAGACUGUGGAGAAGAGAGCUGUUCUCAAGAAUUGGAUUGCCACACCAUAUACCGGGCCCGCCGAGUCCUUUAGUACCUUGGCAAUUAGGCUAAUUUGUUUUUAUAGCCAUGCUAGGCAUUUAAGAUAUUUUCAAUAAUUUUGUUUUAAGGACGCAUUUUGUUUCUAAAUAAUUACUCGAGUCAUCGAGCCGUACCUAUUUUGGAUAUUUUAAAAUUUAAUUAACGCACUGCUAUUUAUAUUUAUUAUUAUCUUUCACAUUUUUUCUACAACAUUAUUAUUACCUUCUGAUGAACCGAUGACUAUGACAUGUAAUGAGAAAACGCAAUAUAAGGAUAGUGACUCAGAAGAAGAAGAUGAAAUACCUGAGGAAGUUGUCAGAAAAGUUGAGAACUUUGAGAACAAACCUAAGUCCAACCUGGACAAAGCAAUCAAUUUGGGAGACACCGAAACUGUCAAAGAGACUUGCAUAAGCAUUCACUUAUCACCGUUAGAGAAGGAAGAGUACAUUCAUUUCCUGAAGUAAUAUGAGGAUAUCUUUGCAUGGUCAUAUCAUGACAUGAUCGGUCUGAGAACAUCCAUAGUGGUUUAUAAGUUUCCUACCAAUCCAAUGUGUCCGCCUGUGAAGUAGAAACUCAGAAAGUUCAAACUAGACAUGAGUCUGAAAAUCAAGGAGGAUGUCACUAAGCAGAUCAAAGCCAAACUCCUCAGGGGAUUCGAGUACCCAACCUGGUUAGCCAAGAUUGUACCUGUUCUGAAGAAAGAUGGGAAAGUCAGAGUGUGUGUCUUUACAAAGCAAGUCCUAAGGACAAUUUCCCACUGCCAAACAUACACAUCAUGUUCGACAAUUGCGCUAAGCAUGAAUUCCAAUCCUUUGUGGAUUGCUUCGCGGGUUAUCACUAGAUCUGAUGGAUGAAGAAGACGCAGAGAAAACAAUUUUCAUUACACCGUAGAGAGUGUACUGCUACAAAAUAAUGUCUUUAGNNNNNNNNNNNNNNNNNNNNNNNNNAUCAAAUCCAAGAAGGCCGCAGAUCAUAUAGAAAACUUGAGAAAGUUCUUUGACAGGCUAAGGAGAUACAACCUAAAAUUGAACCCCGCAAAAUGUGGGUUCUUACAGAAAAGCUAUUUGGAUUCAUUGUCAACCGCCGAGGAAUCGAGUUGGACCAGUCCAAAGUUAAGGCUAUCCAAGAAUUACCACCACCAAAGAGCAAAAAGGAUGUGAUGAGCUUCCUAGGAUGCCACAACUACAUCAGCUGUUUCAUAGCACAAUCCACAGUUAUAUGUGAACCCAUCUCCAAAAUGUUAAGGAAAGAUGCUAAAACCAGUUAGAUAGAGGACAGUCAAAAGUCUUUUGACAAAAUCAAGGAAUACCUGUCUACACCGCUAGUCCUAGUCCCACCAGAACUUGGGAGACCUUUGCUACUCUAUCUGUCCGUAUUAGAUGGAGCUUUUGGAUGUGUUUUGGGACAACAUGAAGAGACAGGAAGAAAGGAGCAAGCCAUAUACUACUUGAGUAAGAAGUUCACACCAUACGAAGCAUGAUACUCUCUGUUGGAACGCACUUUCUGUGCGUUGACCUGGACAACUCAAAAAUUGAGGCAUUACUUUUAUGCUUAUACCACGUACCUCAUAUCUAGGAUGGACCCUCUGAAGUACAUCUUUCAGAUGUCCAUGCCAACCGGAAAGUUAGCUAAGUGCCAGAUAUUGUUAAGUGAGUUCGAUAUCAUCUACGUAACUCAAAAGGCGGUCAAAGGACAAGCAUUGGCAGACCAUCUUGCUGAAAAUCCUAUGGGAGGAGAAUACGAACCAUUAAAAAUGUAUUUUCCUGAUGAAGAAGUAUCAGUCGUAGGAGAGGACAUUGCUGAAGCCUACGACGGUUGGAGAAUGUUCUUCGAUAGGGAUACAAACUUCAAAGGAGUAGGAAUUGGAGCAAUUUUGGUAUAAGAAAUAGGUUAAUAUUACCCAGUAUCUGCAAAACUUAGGUUUCCGUGCACCAACAAUAUGACAGAAUACGAGAGUUACUGGUAAUCGGCGAUUCAGAUCUUUUGGUACAUCAGGUUCAAGGAGAAUAGGUUACAAUUAACACCAAGAUACUACCAUACUUGUAUCAUGUGCAUGAAUUGAUGAAGAGCUUCAUAAAUAUAGAAUUCAAACAUGUGCCCAGAAUUCAAAAUGAGUUCGCAGACGCACUGACCACCUUGUCAUCAAUGAUACAACAUCUGGAUAAGAAUUUUAUCGACCCUAUCACGGUGAAGAUCCAUAAUCAACCGGCUUAUUGUGCUCAUGUUGAAGAAGAAACAGAUGGAAAAUCUUGGUUCCACAACAUCAAACAAUACUUGAUAAAAGGGUAAUAUCCAGAAAACAAACCAUACUAAGAAACACACAUUGCGGAGGUUGUCCAAUCACUUCUUCCAAAAUGGAGGGACCCUGUAUAGAAGAACUCCUGAUCUGGGGUUGUUAAGGUGUAUUGACGCAAAGGAGGCUUCCAGAUUGCUUGAGGAGAUACAUGCCGGAACUUGCGUACCAAAUAUGAACAGUUUUGUUCUAGCCAAGAAGAUACUUAGAGCUGGAUAUUUUUGGAUGACCAUGGAAACAGAUUGCAUCCGGUACGUCCAGAAAUGUCACCAAUGCCAGGUACAUGCAGACAUGAUAAGGAUACCACCAAAUGAGCUCAACGCAACAAAUGCACCUUGGCCUUUUGCUGCUUGGGGAAUGGACCUCAUUGGCCCAAUUGAGCCUACCGCUUCUGACGGGCACAUGUUCAUUUUAGUGGCUAUCGACUAUUUCACAAAAUGGGUAGAGGCUGCAUCUUACAAAGCUAUAUCUACGAAAGUCAUCGUACAUUUUGUCAAGGAUCAAAUUGUUUGACGAUUCGGGGUUCCUGAGUCCAUUAUCACUGAUAUUACCACCAAUUUCAACCGUGAUCUAAUGAAAGCCAUAUGUGAAACCUUCAAAAUCAAGCACAAAAACUCUACAACAUACAAGCCUCAAAUGAAUGGAGCUAUGGAAGCUCCAAACAAGAACAUCGAAAAGAUACUAAGGAACAACAACAACAACAACCCAGUAAAAUCCCACAAGUGGGGUAUGGGGAGGGUAGUGUGUACACAGACCUUACCCCUACCCCGAAGGAUUAGAGAGGCUGUUUCCGAAAGACCCUCGACUCAAGAUAAUAAAAAGAAGACAAAAGGAGAGGAUAUUAGAUUCAUCAUGGAAAUCGUAGGAAAAAUAGGAACAUAAAAUGCAGAAGAAAAAUGCAAAGCAAAAACGGUGGCUAGUAAAUGGAUCCAACAUCAAAAAAGAAAAUAGUAAGACACGACAUUGCCCCUAGCUCUCUUAGACAAAACCCUACUAGACUAGGCUCACAAAGGUACAAAGUAAUGCAAGACUGAACUACCUCCUAGCCUACAACCGUAAUACUCGACCUCCACAACAUCCUAUCAAGUUUCAUGUCCUCAGCACGAGAAGUUACCCUUUUCCCUAUCGGGGUACCGUACCAUGGUCAGCACAUCAACUGGGAAAACUCCUUAUUUACUGGUUUAUGGUACCAAAGUUUUCAUUCCAGCCGAGGUAGAAAAUCUUUCUUUAAGGAUCAUACAAGAAGCCGAACUCAGUAAUGCAGAAUGGAUAAGGAACCGCUAUGAGCAACUAGCCCUCAUAGAUGGAAAAAGAAUGAAUGCAGUAUGUCACGGUCAGCUUUAUAAGAAUAGAAUGUCCAGAGCUAUCAACAAAAGGGUUAGACCGUGACAAUUCACACCGGGGCAGCUGGUGCUGAAGUAGCUCUUCCCACAUCAAGAUGAAGCCAAAGGGAAAUUUUUACCGAACUGGCAAGGUCCUUACUUAGUUCACCGAGUUCUAACAGGAGGGGCACUCAUAAUUGCAGAAAUGGAUGGAGAGGUUUGGCCAAAACCUAUCAAUUCAGAUGUAGUCAAGAGAUAUUAUGUUUAGAUUGUUUACAUUCAUUCAUCUGAUAUAACUGAACUACGNNNNNNNNNNNNNNNNNNNNNNNNNNNNNNNNNNNNNNNNNNNNNNNNNNNNNNNNNNNNNNNNNNNNNNNNNNNNNNNNNNNNNNNNNNNNNNNNNNNNNNNNNNNNNNNNNNNNNNNNNNNNNNNNNNNNNNNNNNNNNNNNNNNNNNNNNNNNNNNNNNNNNNNNNNNNNNNNNNNNNNNNNNNNNNNNNNNNNNNNNNNNNNAAACUGGGGCAGAAUUUUGAGGAGGACCCUCAAAAUUCCGGAACGAGUCCGGCCGGUGCCAUCAUAUGCAAGACAGUUAAGUGAUUGGGGCAGAAUUUUGAGAAGGAUUCUCAAAAUUCCAGAGCAGAUUCAACAAACUUCGUUACACAAAAAUGACCAAAGGAUCAUUCAUCAAACUGGGGAAGAAUUUUGAGGAGGACCCUCAAAAUUCUAAUGCAAGGAAGCCGCAAUGUCUCUAAAAGUGUCACAGUCAUUAGUUCAUCUAAUUUACUUGAUGUCAUAUACCACUAUAUUUUCUAAAAUAAUUCUCUUUCAUCAAUAAGUACAUAUUUUCGAAAAUAUUAUUUCUGUGACAGCUAGGUGUUACCCAAGGUAACUCGAACAGGGUCCCUAGAGCAGAGCAAGUAGACAAGAGCUUGAACCAACCUUCCUCUACAAAACUCAUGACGUUUCUUUGGAUGCAGGCACAGUGAACAUAACUGGAGUAUUCACAAAUAUACACAAAUCAAAGUCACUAUCCUUAUAACAAUUAGGCCACCUGACGCAAAUAUAGAUCCAGCUAAGAAAUAUUCUACUCCUAUUUGCUACUUGUUCACUGCAUAAGGCUAAGAAUUGCCUUCUCUUUGCAUGAGACUAAGCCCUGUCUCAAAUCUUGCAUGAGGCUAAGCAUUGCCUUCUCUUUGCAUGAGACUAAGCCCUGUCUCAAAUCGUGCAUGAGGCUAAGCCCUGCCUCCAUACCUGCAUAAAGCUAAGCAUUGCCUUCUCUUUGCAUGAGACUAAGCCCUAUCUCAAAUCUUGCAUGAGGCUAAGCCCUACCUAUAUACCUACAUAAGGCUACGCAUUGCCUUCUCCCUACAUGAGGCUAAGCCCUGCCUCCCUACCCGCAUGAGGCUAAGCAUUGCCUUCUCUCUGCAUGAGACUAUGCCCUGUCUCAAAUCUUGCAUGAGGCUAAGCCCUGCCUUCUUAUUUGCAUAAGGCAAAGCACUACCUUCUCGUGAGAUUAAGCAUUGUCUCCCUCCGCAUAAGUGUUGCUCCAUUUUCAAAUUUGCAUUAUCUUCUUUUCUCGGGGCUAAGCUCUGCCCCCAAACUCUACAUGAGGCUAAGCGUUGCCUUGUUAUUACCUUUGGCAUCAUGUCUCUACACUUCAUAGGCUGAUAUAUAGCCAACAUAGUUCAAAGGCAUCAUCCUCAUAACCUGAAGACACCAUGUCAUGGCCUGAGGAUCUCUCAAUACUGCACAUUAUCAUUCAAAGGCGUCAUGAUUCAGAGGCACCAUUUUCAUGGCCCGAGAACAUCAUUUCAUGGCAUGUGAAUCUCUUAUCUCAUGAUUCAUGGCCCGGGAUAUCAUGGUCUAAGAACGUCAUCUUCACUAUCCAAAGACAACUUUCAUGGUCCAAAGGGAAUUUGCAUCAUGUUUAAAUUAUUGCAAUAAUCUAUAUACUCGCAUGCAUCACGUUUUAAGUUCUGCAGGAAGUCCAGGAGGUAACCGUUCUUCAAACAGGAGCAACUUUCGCUCCGGUUUUCGCUUGCACCACUUACACUCUGCCAUUUAACCGAUUCCCAUCAAAUACCCACCUUUACUCAAUGACCGUUCAGAUAUCUGCCCUAUGAUACAUCCAUUACGCUUCAGACUCAUAUUCAUAACUUAGCAUAAACUCAUAAUACUAUCCUCCCCAAAAGGAACCAUCCGAAACAUACUACCAUUCCUAUAACAAUUCCAUCGGCUUCAUUCACCGUUGGGUACAGAACUACACAUGGUCUGAUUCCUCUAAAACCAUGGAUAUAUAGGCAGUUCAGAGACUAGGGUGUGGCCUCUAUUUUUCAAAACACCUCAUUCGGUUAAAAUCGGUCAUCAUUUCUUUACCUGACAACUCUUUCAUCCUUCCCGGGUAAAGAGGGGCAACUGUUGAUACCCAAAUUCUCCCUCAUAUAUUUUUAACAUGCAUAUAUAUUUUCAAAAAUAGUGCACAUGCAUUUACAAACAUGCACAAGGAUUUCGAUAUCUUUUUCCAUAAUUUUAAAGGCUUUCAACCAAUUUAUUUCUGUAUUUUUACUAUACAAAUAUCCAAUAAUUAUACCUCAUAUUAUUUUUAUGAUGAUUUAGCCAUUUAAAUUUAGCAUUUAUGCCCAUAUAGUGUUUAAAUAUUUUAAUUGUAUUUUUAUAAUUAUGUUUGCAUUUUUUUAAGGUUAGAGUUACACAUUUUUGCAAUAAUAGCCUACAUAUACAUGCAUAAUUAUAUUAUUUACAUGAAAAAUGAAUUUUUAUAUUUUUAUAAUAUUAAGUAAUUAUUUUGAAUCAUUUACAUGAAUAAAUGAUAUUUUUAUCAUUUAUAAAUAAUUUUAUAAAAUUAUUUUAAAUAAUUAAAUGGGUAUUUAAAACAUAGCUUUUUUUUAAAAAAAAUCGGACCUAGCCCAAAACUACCCUAGCACACUUAAAUAUAACCCAUAACCCAAUCUCCAAAUAACCCGUCGCAACCCAGAUGGAAUCCUGGCUGUUGAUAUCAGAAGAUCAACGGCCCAGGAUUCAUUUCCUUUUUUAUUAACCAAACGACCCCCCAAACCCUACCCAUUUUCUCAAACACUGUCGCCCCUGAAUUCCUACCUACUCUCUUCUCUCUCAACCUCUCCCUAACCCUAGUCUACCAUCACUUGAACCCCCUUCAAUCCAUGGGGUUUCUCUUCGAUCUUACGCCCUAACCGGCCUCUUAUCUCUAUUGGUUGUUCAAUCUCUUUGUUGUUUGAUGGAAUCUCAAGGGGAUUCGAACAGAUUUGGUUAAAAUCCCUCAAUCUUUGGAUGCAUCCGCCUGUAUUCACCAUUUGUUCGUGAGUAUUAUCACUUUUGUGUUUUCGUGGCUUCAAAUCUCCGGUCUAAAACUCAAUUUUUACACCUUCGUUCAUUUCUGUACAGACCUAGCUAUUUUUGGUCGAAUAGGUUUAGAUAUCUUUAGAUCUGGAGUGUUUGGGGUUUGUUUAACCAUUUUCCUUUAUGGUUUUUUCAUUUUUACCGCUAUUAUCUACCGAUUUCACUUUUUUCCUUAGAACUAAGGUUUCAUCUUUUAAGUUUUUGCAAAUAUUUAAAACAUUUAAAGGUUCAACCAUGGACUUUUUUCUUUACUACUCGACUAGUUUUCAUGCUUGAUGUUUCAUCUCUGUGUUUCAAUAUGCUUAAAGUUUUCCAUUAUUCGAUUAUUUGUCUCAUUGUUCUUGCCCGUUCACUUUGGCCUGGUUAAAUAAAUUGGUUAAUUGAUUUAUUUACCUAAUUAGGAUUUGAAAUUAUAAAUGACCCCUGACUUAUUUCUUACCUUAUUAAACUUCAAUCUUGCCGGUUAAUUGAUUCUCCCUAAUCUAAGUGAUAUUUUCCCGGAUUUUGUCAUAUUAAUUGAUUAGGUUUAGCCCUAAUUAACUAGUUGAAUGAUUUACAUACCUUAUUUGUGAGCUCUUAAUUUUCUUUGCCUUAUUUGUCAUGCUUUGCUUAUAUAAACCUCAUCAUUCUGAUUUUUUAAAGAUACGCUCAGACUCAGACAUCUAUACUUACAAGCACACACUGAUACACACUAACAGUUCUUUGAUUUGUUGCACUGUCUAGCUGGCUGAGAGCCAAGGCUAGACCCUUGGAUUUCAUUCGUCUUCACCUUCCUGUUUGCUAUCUCCUUAGCUGGUAUGCCUCCAUUUCUGUUAUCAUGUUCUCUUCUAUAUGCUAUGUAGUUAGACUUCAACAUGAUUCUGUUUGCCGUAUGUCUUCCUGUUUACUACUCUCUUAACUAAUAUGCCUCAAUUUUUAUUACAAUGCUCUAUUCUAUAUGCUAUAUAGUUAGUUCACAAUAGACAUCAACACAUCUCUGUUUCAUGUUUGUUUCUCUCUGAACUAGCAUGCCUCAAUUCCUGUUAGCCUACCCUGUUCUGUAUGCUAGUAUGUAUAGUUUAUCUUAACAUGUUUCUGUUUGAUCCAUGAUUUCUAUGUACUUCUUUCUAGACUAGUAUGCUUUAAUUUCCUACUAUCCUUCUCUAUGUGUUUGUUUGUUUGGUUAUCUUAACUUCAACAUGCUUCUGUUCAAUAUAUGUCUACAUAUUUCCACCUAGUAGUAAUUAAUAAGCCAAAUCAACCUCAGACAUUUGAAACCUUGUUGAUUCAAUUGUAUGCCUCUAUGAUACUGCAAAUAUGUAUGGUCAGUUUUGUUUGUAACUCAAGUGCCCAUGCUCUUUUGUGAUUGCUUUAGUUGACACAGUAUUCAUACCAAUCUGUCUGGAUUUUGCUUGUCUAGGUAGAAUUCUAUUUCUAUUUGCUCCUGAAGAAAAACUAUUUUCUAAAAAACUAUCCCCUACCCCUUGCAUGUAUUACCCUUUCAAAUUUCCACUCGUAGCUGCCUAGGUUCCUACCACCUCCAAUGUGAGCACUGCCUAGGGUCCCUGAGACUCAUUUGAACUCUGACACAUUAGAGCUGGCUUCCAAUCUCUUAUGAAUCCUGUGUUGAAUGUAUGGAUCCAGUGUGAGCAUUGUCUGGGGUCCUUGAGGCUCUUUGGGAACUUUGACACACUGGAAGAAUGGCUUAAGGUGUUAUGUAUCUUGCCACCUAUGUAUAUCAGAUUUGCUUGCUUGAAGUCCUGGUUUCUAGGAUUGAUGUUGCGCCUGCCAUGGCUCCCUAUAGUGCAAUGAAUAGCUUUGUGUAGUUUAUUCAUAUUGGUCUAUAAUAAUUCUCUUUGUAAAAAAAGAUAUUGGGGUUAUUAGUAAAAGUUGGGGGUGGUCUAUUCUUACAUCUCUAUUAAAAUUGAAUAGAGAUCCUGCCUAUAGGACUUGACUAUGCUGAUUGCAUUAUGUGAUGUUUAAAGAUCCUGCCUAUAGGAUUUUAUGAUUGUUUGACUCUGUGCUACACAUCUGCAUGUUAGAAAUCCUGCUAUAGGACUUUACGUUUAAUUCUGCACAUUAGAAAUCUUAUUUAUGGGAUCUGCACGUAUUUUCAAUUCAAUGUGCAGUAAUGACCAUGUCUAUAGGAUCUUGUUUGUUUGAAUAACCAUUUUCUUGGCAAUGUGCUCAAAGAAUUCUGCCUACGCAUGAGUAAUAGAGAUCGUAUCUAUAGGAAACUAAAGUCACCUAGAUACCAUGCCUAUAGGAAAUAAGAUAAUCAAUUCUGCAUAUAGUUAUCAUGCCUUGGGAAAUAUCAAUUUUGCGCUUAGAUAUCAUGCCUAUAGAAAAUAAACGUAAAAACACUUUCAACACUUAGAUAUCAUGCCUAUAGGAAAUACAUAUAAAAUCAGGUCUUGACCCUUAGACAUCAUGCCUAUAAGAAGUAAGUGUAAAAAAACCAGUGUCUGUGUUUAGGUAUCAUGUCUAUAAGAAAUAAUGCCAUAAUCAGUUUCAGCACUUAGAAAGCAUGCCUGUAGGAUUUAAAAAUAAAAAUCUGCCUAUUAAAAUUAGCAAUUGGUUUACAGCUUAGAUACCGUGUCUACAGGGUUCCACCCGAUUAUCACUUAGGCAGGCCUGUAGGUUAAUUAAAUUUCUGGGUCUAAAACUGUGAUUGCUUGUUUGAAAUAUGCCUAGAUUCAGAGUAUUAACCAAAUCAGUAGGCAAACUGAUAGGUACUCGUCUUGUUACGGCCAUAAUAUUACGUUGAUAUUAUGUCCGACAAUAUUAUAUUACGAUAAUGUUACAUCCUGCACUAUUAUAUUACGAUAAUGUUACGCCUUGCAGAAUUACAUUACGAUGAUGUUACGUUUUUCAGUAGUAAAUUACAAAGAUGUUGCACCCUAUAAUAUUGUACAUUGAAUUUAUCGUAAGGUAAUUGACAUCAAUCCAAGGAAAAGAUUAUUCAGACAUUAUAAGGAUUAUGCUAUUUCAAAAGUGAUGAGUAAAUUCGUAAAGAUGAGAGCGGAAGCAAGUCAAAGAAAAUAAAUUUUGGUCCAAGUUUGGCAUGUUGGGAUAAUAUACGGGCCGAGCGUUAAUACCCGAUAUUUAUGGACUAGUACCAUACAAGGUACCAUAUGACCAUGAUAGUAUGAUAUAUAUAUAAGGGAAUUAAAAAUAAGUAGAAUUUUAAGUAAUUUGAGAUAAUUCUUAAUUAUGCGGGAAAUUGGUUAAUUACCGGGUACCGGGACAUUACCUAAUUAAUUGGGGAUAUAUUGGAUAAGUAUGUAACAAGUAUGAGAUGGCAGCCCCUCCUUUAAUUUAAAAUGACUCAUAAAUCAUUACUAAUAGGUGGCAUGAAAAUGGAAAAGGUUUCACACCUAAGGUGACACCAAUUUUCCAAUGAGGGACCCACCUACGCUAAAGAUACCAAUCUCCAAAAAUUAGAAUUCACUUACUACACUUCUUCUGAAAGAGUCCAUGAACUUUUAGGAAAAUUAUGUCUCAAACUUAAUAGUCCAGCAAGAUGUUCUUACAUAGAAAUCACGUUCAAACAUUCUAAUAUGCAAAUGCAUAUUAUAUAACAUAAAAGCUACGCCCAUGCUUUCAAAUUAACAUGAGAUUUUGCAAUAUUAACGGAGUACGGUGUAAUAUUUCUCAAGACAAUCGACUCAGGUAUGUUAAGGCAAUCCCUUCUUUCUUUUGGCAUGAUCCAUACGAUACAAACGAAGCGAGAAAUGCAUAACUUUCACAAAUGACUCUAUUCAUAGAAGUAUUAAAAAUGCCUACGUUCUUGAAUUCCCAUAUGUCCUAUUAUUUUAUCCUCUAUUCAUGAGUCUCAGAAAAAUACGUAAGUUGAAAAAUUUUACUUCAUGAUAUUACUCAAAGACAUAAUGGUCUUAUGACAUUCCGAAAGAUUUUAUUAACGCACUUCUCAUGCAAUGCAUUCAUGUACAUUGACCCAUGACUAGAUGGCAAGAUAUACACAUAUAUAUGUAUAUUAUAUGUAUAUGGUAAAUGGGAAAAGGUUACGACGUUAUAUACGCACCAUCACCUGAUCAGCUGGUAUACGUUGAUUAUUUUGCCCAUAGUGGCCGAGAUGGUAUGAUGGGAUGCCCUCAGAGGCUGAUGAUGUUAUGAAACAUGUACCUAUGCUCGACACGACAUUCAUAUACAUAUGCAUGACACUAUAAGUAUUUCAUGAUUUACAAAGUUUUCCAGACUUACAGGUUGAGUUAUUUACUCUAUAUUUCUUCUAUGUCUGUUAUGUACUUAUUUAUAUGCCUUACAUACUCGGUACAUUUUUCGUACUAACAUCCCUUUUGCCUGGGGACGUUGUGUUUCAUGUCUGCAGGUCCCGAUAGACAGGUAGAGAGCCCUCCAACUAGGCUAUUAGCUCAGUGGAAGAUGUUGGUGCGCUCCAUUUGCUUCGGAGUUUCUUGUUUAGUUAGUAUGAUUUAGAUGUGUACUGUUUGGUAUGGUGGGAUUCUGUCUCGACCUUUAUGAAAAUUAUGUAUUCUUAGAGGCUUAUAGAUAGAUGUCAUGUACGUAAAAUAUUGUAUGGCCUUGUCAGCCUAUGUUCAGUAUAUGAGUGGUUAUUUUGGCCUUAUAGACACGUAUGUCUUAUGUAUAAAUUGGUAUCACAUGUUGUAUUCUACUUAACUUAUGGCAGCCUUCCGGCUCAGUUAUCUGUGAUAGUAUAACAUGAAAAGAUACGUUAUGUUGGUACUCAGUUGGGUAAGGUAUCGGGUGCCCGUCGCGGCCCAUCAAUUUCGGUCGUGACAAAAGUGGUAUCAGAGCAGUUCUGUCCUAGGGAGUCUACUAGCCGUGUCUAGUAGAGUCUUGUUUAUGGGUGUGUCGUGGACCACACUUAUAAGCAGGAGGCUACAGGGCAUUUAGGAUUUUUACUCUUUCUUCUUACUCUAGAUCAUGUGGUAGAGCUCAUUUGUAAGAAUUCAAACUCCUAACUUCUAUUUUAUUCGUAAUAAGACGAUACCUACAUCCAUAAAGACAGUUGGUAAAAGACAUGGCUAUGGGAGAGUUGAGUUAGAGGAACUCUAAUUUGCAUCAUGCUUAUGAUAAGUAAAUGUGAGGUCUUCAACGGAUCAUGUGCGUACUGAAAGGUGUAAGCCUCUUGAUAAUGAGUCUUGAGGCAAGAAUACCUAUCUACCUUAAUGGUGAAAGAUAAUGAGAGAUUCGAAAGAUAAAUACAAGUUUCAACAAGCAAAAGAAGUAAGAUGAAGAAGAGUACGAGGCGCCAGUUAAUGAAGGUUAACAAUGUUUAUAGUUCUGGCAGAGGAAUGUAAGCUUUUUGAGUUAUAUUCAAUAGUAACAUAGGUAUGUACAAUUGGCCGUACCCAUCUCAAUUACGCCCUGUGGGGGCCAACAAGUAUAGUUUAAGAAAAGGACGGAACAUCAGGAUCUGGUUGGGGUAGAGUAACCCAAAAUGGUGAAUGGAUUGUUUGUGUUAGUUGACAUUUUUGAAGGGUAUUACAAAUGUGCUAAUAGAUCUUCUUGUGAGAUACCCAGAUGGUGCACUCUAGAACAUUACAAUUAGAUGUGAAUGCUAGCAUGAUAAUAAAAAAUCAGAAGAUAGGCACUGAAAUUCUGGAAGGGAUAAAUAUUACCUUAAUGUGACUCUCGUCCCUAGUAGAGCAAGGACGUUGAGCAACCCGAAGAGCCGAUAGAUGAAGUAAGGGGAGCAAAAAGCAAAAGAAUGUCUUGCUGAAAUUUUCACAAGAAAGGAUAGGCAAAAAUAUUAGCAGAGUAAUGAGAAGAGUGACAAGGAAGAAUUAUGAGUAAGAUGCGAUACAUGGAUGACAAUGGUAGAUCAAAAAGAUGAUGGUAUUACCGGGCCCAUAGUUAGGUGAAGGAAGAGAUGAGAGGUGAUAGGCCUUAAGACAACAAAAGAGUAUAGGCCACAAAGUCAUAUCCUCAUUUCAAGAAGUAAGUUUGUGACCUAAUGUGAUUACCAAUAGGAAAAGAUAGACCCUAGAAUAAUAGAUAUCAGUAUGAGCUAGUGAACAAGAUAAAGUAAACAUGAAUUAGGGAUUUAAUGAUUUGAUAAUGGUCGACAUCAUGAGAAUUUCAGAUUUCAUACCGGCAAUAAUAAAAUGGACAACAGAAUAAAAUUCAUGAGAAAUUCAGAGAAUGGUCAUUCAGGAAGACGCUUCCCUAAAGUAAGCAAUGUGAGUAAAAUUAAGCUUAAGAGACUAUAUGUGCCAGUUAUAGUAAUUGUCACCUCGUGAGUAAGGAAUUUCGUUAUCCUUAGUACAGAAGGAUUACCACAAAGAGAGUAAGGGUUAUUGAUGAUGUGAAAGGAUGCCAAAAAUGAAGAGGUAGAACAUUUAUAGGCAGAUCGUCGUAACUCCAACUCUUAGUACUCCCUUAAAGGGGGGAAUAUGGAAUGAUGUGGCAUUAAGCCAGAAUUAAGUGGUUCUAGUAAAUAUGGAAUGAUAAAGAAAGAAUGUGAUAAAAAUGAGAAAGGGAUGAGAUGAUCAAAUGUUACAGAUAUACUAUGAUUUCAGAACAUUAUGUAAGCACGACGUUAAGAAAAGGAAGUAAGGGUUCCCGUCCGGGAUGUUAUUGAACGAUAAGGAGCCAGUACGUGAGGUAAGUUAAGACAAAGGAAAUAACCCAAGAAAGAUUAUGCGGAAUAUGGAUAUGAGAAUGGGCCAACGAGUAGUUAGUAGUAGAUUCAGGAAGAGCCUAGUCAUGAAUAGACAAGAAGUUACAGACAAAUCAACAGAUCAUGUAAGAUAAAUGUAGUAAACCUUGAUAUGGAGAAUUCAGCCUCGCAUUAAUGUCAUUAUAAUACUUGAGAUAUAUUCAAAUAGGAGUCGGGGUAGUUAAACGCACUGUAUGAGUGUUACGGGGAUAAAAGAGAGUGUCACUGGGAAGACAGUCAAAAUGCCAGUUCAGAAGAAACCCCACAAGCACAAGGGCAUAAAGAUAAGUAACUACGGAUAAGUAUAGGCAAGGAAGGACAUUAGAAGGUCCGUCGAAUAUACAAUUUAAUAAGCUCACAACUUUACAAGAGUUAGAGGAUCCUCCCUAAGUACUACAAUGAAAGACUAAGAUAAGAAAAAUAAGGAAGAAGGCUUCAACCUGAAGUUAGUGGCCUAAAGAGAAAAUGUUCUUAUUACAAUAGUCUCACAACAACAUUGUAAGAACUCCAAAGAAAGUGGCACCUACCGUGGCUAAUGAACGGGAAGUAAAAUUAAAGAUAAUAUUCGAGAUCAUAUAUGUUGCAAAAAAAACUUUGGCAUGCGUGAGAACUCAGAUAAGCUAAGUAUGCACGCAAAAGGGGGAAAAAAGACCAGGAAAAGCAAUUGCUUACAUUUGAAGAAAGCCGAAAUGGAAGGAAAGGAAUUAUUCGAUUAAUGAUCAGCCGUAGAUGACUCCGGUAUAAGUUUAAAAAAAAGAAUUGAGCCUAGGUUAGAGACAAAGGAUUUGGUUGUUAGAGGAUUGUAUCAUGGGUAUUCCAAAGUGUCCAUGAAAGGCUAAAGCAAUAACUAAUACCAUGAGCCGCAGAUUGGAAGAUAACUUAAUCUAAAAACUGAUCAGAAGGAAGAAGAAAAUAAAGAGUUAUAUCAACGAAGUAAAUCAGGAGUCUGAUUAUUGGACCUAGAAAAUUAUAAACCUCGUGAUUGAGAUUAUUGAAGGAUCACUCUUAAUAUCACAAGUCACAUAGUACAACAACUAUAUUCUAUAACGUUUCUACGAUGAAGCAAAGUCAGAAUAGUACCAACCUCAUAAAAAGUUAGUACGAAGCACCCACCGGAUUGUAUAUGCACCGAAGGUGCAAGUAUUAUAAUAGAGCUUCAAGUUGUAGUGUGAAUCAUACCUAUGUGGAGGGGAGGUUAUGAAAGAGAAAUAAGAUAUGAUGUGAGAUUUUAAGUAAGUAAGGUAAAGGUGAACAACGCACGAGAUACUCAAAUGCAGAAGGUUGUGAAUAGUCAAUACUUCGGAUAGAAGGCUAGAAGCGCGAGAAUUCAAUAACCGGGAAUGAUAGCGACAUCAUCAGCGGUAUCUCUUCCAUCCUAUGGUUUCUAUGUACCGGGAGGUAUAGUUAAGAGAGUAGAGAAGAGUUAGAGACAAUGUGAUGUCUCGUUUGACGUUCCAGAAUAACAUAAGGAAAUCUAUUGUGCAAGCAAGUUGAAGGAAUGUUGCGAGUAGUAUAAAUGGAUAUGUAUAGGUCGCAAGCUAAAGUAUGGUAGAGCGACAAAAUUUUAAGAAGACAUAAGUAAGGAUUUGGAAAGCCAAAUGAAAAGGUGACGAGAAUGGAUAAGUCCUUAGGAUUAUGUCCAUGAAAACAAGAGAGCUAAUGGUUUAUCUAAGUUAUAGAAAGUUCAGUAUAGCCUGAAUGAACUCAAAGGAUUCUAAGACUAAUAACAUUUGGAAGAAAUGGAAUGUUGCCCUGUUAAUGGAAUGAGGGUGUAAUUGUUAUAAGUAAAGGAUGACAUUUGGGCCUUCGAUUGAUUAAUGAUUUGAAAACAAUAAAAAAAAAGAGGGGGAUUUCAUGAGUUGCACAUGAUUAAAAUACCCACGUAAGGUGAAUCAUAUUUGGAUGCUAUGAAAUACGAUUAUAGAAAUCACUUCAAAUAUUUGUCGAUGCAACGUAAGCCCCAGUGGCAAGGUAUUACGUAAGAAGUUUCAAGUUAUCAAUGGUAUAUUGUAGAUCAAUAUUGAGGCGAAUUAUAAUGGAUGGACAAAAGUCACAAAGUAUGAGUUGAGAUUAGGUCAUCAUUCUUAAGAUGAAUAGUAAUGAGGAAGCAUUAAAUGACUUAGCCUUAUGCAUAUGGGAUACACAACGAGAGUAAACUGGAGUUUGGUCGCAGACCUCAGUAACGACAAAUCGAAGUAAGAAAGAUGGUAUAGUAACCUACUUAGAUGCAGUAAAAUCAUACGAAUGGAUAAUCGAGUCUAUGAACUAAGAUAUACCAAUAUUCGUAAAUUCGACAAAGCAUUGAGCAAAGAACUUCAGUAUACUUAUAGAUGCCCAGAGGGACAUCUCACCAAGCUCUGUAUAUGUUCACAGAAUGAGGCCUAAAGAUUGGCUAAAAGCUGGAUGAAAAAGGAGAGAGGAUCACAUGGGCGUACUUACAAUGUUAGAGUCAUACAUGCUGCAUGAAAGAAGGUAGCAACAGUUACGAGUUUGGAACGAUUCAGGCCACAAGUCGUGGCGUGAGAAAGAGGCCUAAAGGGGGGAAUACCCUAGACUUUGGAUUUAUUCACAAAACAACUCUCUAAAUGGUAAGGAGAGUAUCAAGGUAUUCACAAGAGCUAUACGUUAUGAAAAUAAUAAGAGCAUCAGUCAACAUUCGAGGACGAAUGUUCCAAAGGGGGGAAUGAUGUUAUGCCCCACAAUAUUAUGUCGAUAUUACGUCCAACAGUAUUAUAUUACGAUGAUGUUACAUCCUGUAGUAUUAUAUUAUGAUGAUGUUAUGCCUUGCAGAAUUACAUUACGAUGAUGUUACGCUUCGCAGUAUUAAAUUACAACGAUUUGCACCCUGUAGUAUUGUACGUUGAAUUUAUCGUAAGGUAAUUAAAAUCAAUCCAAGAAAAAAAUUAUUCGAAGAUUAUAAGGAUUAUGCUAUUUCACAAGUGAUGAGUAAAUUUGUAAANNNNNNNNNNNNNNNNNNNNNNNNNNNNNNNNNNNNNNNNNNNNNNNNNNNNNNNNNNNNNNNNNNNNNNNNNNNNNNNNNNNNNNNNNNNNNNNNNNNNNNNNNNNNNNNNNNNNNNNNNNNNNNNNNNNNNNNNNNNNNNNNNNNNNNNNNNNNNNNNNNNNNNNNNNNNNNNNNNNNNNNNNNNNNNNNNNNNNNNNNNNNNNNNNNNNNNNNNNNNNNNNNNNNNNNNNNNNNNNNNNNNNNNNNNNNNNNNNNNNNNNNNNNNNNNNNNNNNNNNNNNNNNNNNNNNNNNNNNNNNNNNNNNNNNNNNNNNNNNNNNNNNNNNNNNNNNNNNNNNNNNNNNNNNNNNNNNNNNNNNNNNNNNNNNNNNNNNNNNNNNNNNNNNNNNNNNNNNNNNNNNNNNNNNNNNNNNNNNNNNNNNNNNNNNNNNNNNNNNNNNNNNNNNNNNNNNNNNNNNNNNNNNNNNNNNNNNNNNNNNNNNNNNNNNNNNNNNNNNNNNNNNNNNNNNNNNNNNNNNNNNNNNNNNNNNNNNNNNNNNNNNNNNNNNNNNNNNNNNNNNNNNNNNNNNNNNNNNNNNNNNNNNNNNNNNNNNNNNNNNNNNNNNNNNNNNNNNNNNNNNNNNNNNNNNNNNNNNNNNNNNNNNNNNNNNNNNNNNNNNNNNNNNNNNNNNNNNNNNNNNNNNNNNNNNNNNNNNNNNNNNNNNNNNNNNNNNNNNNNNNNNNNNNNNNNNNNNNNNNNNNNNNNNNNNNNNNNNNNNNNNNNNNNNNNNNNNNNNNNNNNNNNNNNNNNNNNNNNNNNNNNNNNNNNNNNNNNNNNNNNNNNNNNNNNNNNNNNNNNNNNNNNNNNNNNCGGGCCGAGCGUUAAUACCCGAUAUUUAUGGACUAGUACCAUACAAGGUACCAUAUAACCAUGAUAGUAUGAUAUAUAUAAGGGAAUUAAAAAUAAGUAGAAUUUUAAGUAAUUUGAGAUAAUUCUUAAUUAUGCGGGUAAUUGGUUAAUUACCGGGUACCGGGACAUUACCUAAUUAAUUGGCGAUAUAUUAGAUAUAUAACAAGUAUGAGAUGGAAGCCCCUCUUUUAAUUUAAAAUGACUCAUAAGUUAUUACUAAAAAGUGGCAUGAAAAUUGGAAAGGUGUCACACCUAAGGUGACACCAAUCUUCCAAUGACGGACUCACAUACACUAAAGAUAACAAUUUCCAAAAAUUAGAAUUCAUUUACUACACUUCUUCUAAAAGAUUCCAUGAAAUAUUAGGAAAAUUAUGUCUCAAACUUAAUAGUCCAGCAAGAUGUUCUUACAUAGAAAUCACGUUCAAACAUUCUAAUAUGCAAAUGCAUAUUAUAUAACAUAUAAGCUGCGCCCAAGCUUUCAAAUUAAAGUGAGAUUUUGCAAUAUUAAUGGAGUACGGUGUAAUCAUUCUCAAGAGAAUCGACUCGGGUAUGUUAAGAAUAUCCAUUCUUUCUUUUGGCAUGAUCCAUACGAUACAAACAAAAUGAGAAAAUGCACAACUUUCACAAAUAACUCUAUUCAUAGAAGUAUUAGAAAUGCCUACGUUCUUGAAUUCCCAUGUAUCCUAUUAUUUUAUCCUCUGUUCAUGGGUCUCAGAAAAAUACGUAAGUUGAAAAAGUUUACUUCAUGAUAUUACUCAAAGACAUAAUGGUCUUAUGACAUUCCGAAAGAUUUUAUUAACGUACUUCUCAUGCAUUGCAUUCAUGUACAUUGACCCAUGACAAGAUGGCGUUAUAUACACGUAUAUAUGUAUAUUAUAUGUAUAUGAGAUAUAGGAAAAGGUUACGGCAUUAUAUACGCACCAUCACCUGAUCCGCUGGUAUACGUUGAUGAUUUUGCCCAUAGUGGCCGAGAUGAUAUGGUGGGAUGCCCUUAGAGGCUGAUGAUGUUAUGAAACAUGCACCUAUGCACGACAUGACAUUCAUACGCAUAUGCAUGAUACUAUAAGCAUUUCAUGAUUUACAAAGUUUUCCAAACUUAUAGGUUGACUUAUUUACUCUAUAUUUCUUCAAUAUUUAUUAUGUACUUAUUUAUGUGCCUUACAUACUCGGUACAUUAUUCGUAAUGACAUCCCUUUUACCUGGGGACACUGUGUUUCAUGCCCGCAGGUCCCGAUAGACAGGUCGAGAGCCCUCCAAGUAGGCUAUCAGCUCAGCGAAAGAUGUUGGUGCGCUCUAUUUGCUUCAGAGUUACUUGUUUGGUUAGUAUAAUUUAGAUGUGUAUUGUUUGGUAUGGAGGGACUCUGUCCCGACCUUUAUGAAGAUUAUGUAUUCUUAGAGGCUUGUAGACAGAUGUCAUAUACGUAAAACAUUGUAUGGCCUUGUCGACCUAUGUUUAGUAUACGAGUGGUUAUUUUGGCCUUAUAGGCCCGUAUGUCUUAUGUAUAAAUUUGUAUCACAUGUUGUAUUCUACUUAACUCAUGGCAGCCUUCUGGCUCAGUUAUCUCCGAUAGUAUGACAUGAAAAGAUACGUUAUAUUGGUACUCGAUUGGAUGAGGUAUUGGGUGCUCGUCGUGGCCCAUCGGUUUGGGUCGUGACACGUCUACUCACUUUAAGACUGCAGUAUAUUCUGUUUUUGUGCUCAUUUAUACAUCCUGCCUAUAUGAUCCUAAAAUCAUUUAAAAUUUCUUGUUUGAACAGCGUGCAUUUGUUUGUCUAUUUGUGGAUGUUAACAUGAGCCCACUUAAUUGCUUCUUGUGUGAUAGUCCUACUUGGCUUUUGCUUGUCCCUUAGUUUUCUCCUUUUAAACAACAUAGGUGAGUUUAGAACCGCCUUAAAUAAAGGCCCUAAACACCUCCAGGGCCAAAGGUAAGGGACGGGUAGUGCAUGCAUAGUGUAUGUACUGGAUGUUAUUUGAACGCUUAGGUAAUAAUUAAAAAGGGGAGGGUAAUUGGGUAGUAAAAGGAAAUAAUGACUUGUGUGCUAAUGUUAUGUGUAGCACUCCAACUUGGGGAUAAUUGCCAAGUAUUGCACAGAAGUGAUCCUAUAGGCUAUUAAAACCUAGGACCCCCUUUUAUUCCUUGUUUUAAAAGUAAUAUCUGUUUGUUUAAAUUGCUUUAUUUCCUUGUAAGGCUAAUUCGCUUAAAUUGAGUUUAGCCGGAACCCACCGUUGUGGACCUCGAGGGGUGACUAACACCUUACCUUCAAGGUAAUUUCGUACCCUUACCCAAUCUCUGGUAGCGUGAACUGGUUUCACGAUUUAAUUGUUCUAGGUACCCUGACGCACCUUUUUGUUUUUUGGCAAUCCGCUAGGCAAGCGCCUAGGGCUAGUUUUUAUUAAUAAAAGAAAAGAAAAAUACAACAAUUAGGAAGUGUACAAAUAAGGGGGACAAUAGCAUCGGUUUUGUUACCCAUAUGCCUUGGCUAUAUAAUCACUCCUCUGCGCCUCACAUUGCCUUAUGAUGGCAGCCUCAUAUAGAGGAUUCAUGGGGUAGCUGCCGGCAAAGUCUCACGAGGGCAUAUAAUCUCAUAGCCGUGUGGAUAAUUUCCAAAGGCAUAGGACCAAGGUAACACAAACCGGGCUAAACCUUACCAUACUAUUCCUAUUGAGGCUUUAAAUAGUCUNNNNNNNNNNNNNNNNNNNNNNNNNNNNNNNNNNNNNNNNNNNNNNNNNNNNNNNNNNNNNNNNNNNNNNNNNNNNNNNNNNNNNNNNNNNNNNNNNNNNNNNNNNNNNNNNNNNNNNNNNNNNNNNNNNNNNNNNNNNNNNNNNNNNNNNNNNNNNNNNNNNNNNNNNNNNNNNNNNNNNNNNNNNNNNNNNNNNNNNNNNNNNNNNNNNNNNNNNNNNNNNNNNNNNNNNNNNNNNNNNNNNNNNNNNNNNNNNNNNNNNNNNNNNNNNNNNNNNNNNNNNNNNNNNNNNNNNNNNNNNNNNNNNNNNNNNNNNNNNNNNNNNNNNNNNNNNNNNNNNNNNNNNNNNNNNNNNNNNNNNNNNNNNNNNNNNNNNNNNNNNNNNNNNNNNNNNNNNNNNNNNNNNNNNNNNNNNNNNNNNNNNNNNNNNNNNNNNNNNNNNNNNNNNNNNNNNNNNNNNNNNNNNNNNNNNNNNNNNNNNNNNNNNNNNNNNNNNNNNNNNNNNNNNNNNNNNNNNNNNNNNNNNNNNNNNNNNNNNNNNNNNNNNNNNNNUUUUUCAUCACAAUCCCAAUUCUUCAGAAUAUAUUCAAGAUUUAUGAUUUCUUUUUUGAACGAUUGGACUUUGUAGAUGUAGUUGGGGCGGCCUUCUUUUGUUUGGCAACUCUCAUUAGAGGUCACCUAACAUUUAAAAAAUCACUAACCCUGUCGUCCCAAUUAUAUUUCCUUGUAUGAGUCUUCUUACCUUUGCCGCUAUGCAUUGGUGAUAGAUCCCCUUUUCUUGCUGCCUCUUCUCUACACUGUUGUAACAUUGCUUCUUCCUCUCCGUCUUCAUACAAGUCUCUCCCUAGGUGCACUGGUUUUAGAACAUUUUGGUCGAUAACAAUUGUCUCCAAUGCAGAUUGACCUUGUGUAUUAGUCACCAUUGUCUUGAUUUGAUGAUGUUCUAUUUUUUCAAUUUGUUCCUGCUCUUACUCAACAUUCCAGUGCUAGAAGCAGUAGGAUUACAGGAUUAGAACUCACCAUUGUAUCCAAGAGUCUUCUUUCCUCCUCUGAAAUAUCUGGGAUGGUUGUAACAAUUUGGUUCUUUCCAUAAUUUGUUGUUGUGACUUCUCAAUCACCUAGAUGAGUAGCAGCUGGAAUAACCUACCUUGUAGGUGUUAUUGCAUGAAGAUUUGUUGUCACAAUUUAGAUCUGCCCAGAUUUUGAUGUUGUUAUUUUUGUUCGCUCACCAGUAGGAGUAACAUUUGAAGUGUUGGGAUUAACUUGUUGCUGCUGCACAGUAGAUGUAGGUGUUCCAACUACUGUAUUUUGAAUAGCUGGAGAUGAAGGAUUUCUUGGAAUGAAAGCAGGAGCAUUAGAGUUCAAAUUGCUCAUUGGACUUGCUGCUGGCACUCGUUCAGAUUUUAUCAUCACUAAGGAAUCAAUCUCCUCACCUGUACUAUCAUGAUUAGCCUCACGAUCAACUUCUUCUGAUGAAUAACCAGCAAAACCAUCUCCCCAAUCCUCUUCAUCAUCAUCCUCCCGUUGAUCUAGCCAAAAUUUGGACUUGAUAGCCAUCAACCUCAAAUUUCCUUGUGUAACAUCAUUGUUAUUCCAUGUUGAUAACAUAAGUUGCCCAGUUUCACCUUCAACCUCUCCACAAGAUUCCAUUGAUUGCGAAGGAACCUCAAAAACAUAUUUGUUUAAGGUGACCAAAGGUUGUUUGGCCAUAGGAUUGUUCAUUAUCAUUUCUUUUUGAACAUCUUUAAUGAUUUGUUCAACCUGUGGAAUGGAAAAGUGCAAUGUAGGUGCAUUGGAUCUGUGUGCCUCUGCAUUUUGCGCAUCAACUGGAACAAUGUCCUUCGAAGUAAUGAGUCGUUCACCUGUGUUCUUGGACUUUUGCUGUUGUGUGUUACUGCCUCGAGCUUGUGGCUGCCCAUAUUUUGGAGUUGUGUUGAUCAUCAUAGCUGCAUGGGCAUUCUCUACCAUUUUAUCUAGCUCUGUAUUGGAAAUAUGCAUUGUUGUUGUAGGAUCAUCAGGUACUUGACUUUCCUCACCAAAGUGAUUUUUAUCUGUUGCAAUCCCAAGUCGAGCAGCUAAGUCCUUUACAUUUUUCUGCUGAAUUACAUUGCAUGUAACUCUUGUUUUUCCACCAACUGAUUGUGUCUCAUCCUCCCUAUGUUGCUCCUUAUUUUUAGCCUCAUUCACAUCAUGCUCACCCUCAUUGACCAAUGCAUCAAAAGAGUUCAAGACUCCAAUAAUUGUUGAUGGAUGAAUAUGAUUUUGAAUAACUGGAGUUUGCUUCUUUAUAGGUGAUUUACGCACCACUGUCCAAUUACUGCUCUUUGUAUCAGAUUUGUGUGGUGAAGUAGCAACAACAUCUGCCUUCAAAUGCCCAGAUGUUUCAAUCUUUGGAUCAACAGUGAAUUGCAAAAUGCCAGCUGAUUUUGCCAUAAACUCCAGCUGAGAUGUCGUAGCAUUUGUCCAUUCCAAAGCCUCAACAGUUUCAUGUUCAUAUCCUUCUCCAUUUAAAGUAGCAGCUUUGUCACCUGCUACUUUACAAAAUUGUUCAGUUGUAGCAUUUAUAGGUCGACAACCUCCAGAUGUCCCCACUUCUUGUUGUAUCAAAUUGUUGACAUCAUUUGCAUUCACCAUAGCAUUGUUGUGUAAAGUUGACUCCACAGCCUGUGUACUUCUCGCUACAGCAGGAGAAAUAUCAUCUGUAAUCUUUGUUGUAGCUCGAUUGGUAGGAACUGUGGCAUGAUUCUUGGAAUUAGCUGCUCGAUUUACUACUGUCCAGACUGCACCCAUCGAUUGUUGCACAGUUUGAGCACUAGUUUUUACAACAUCACCAUUAAUCAAUGUAACUGCUGGUUUUUCAACUGUAGUAACUCGAUCACAAUUUUUAUUCAAUGCAACUGUACCAUCCAAAUUCGAAACAAAAGAAACUUGUUCUGUCAGUUUCUGUAUAAUAAUUUGCUCAUGUCCUUUAGAUAAUUGAUGCCCAGCUUCAGCAUAUUUUUGCCCAGUAUGUGGACCCUCAUGAACACCAAUUGGACCGCGAUCAAAAUCAGGACUUGUAGCUGCAAUCUCUUCACACUCCAAUGCAUCAAUAGCUCCUGCGACUGUCGCUAUAUCACUGACAAUCCCUCGAUUUUUCGACACCCUAUUUCUUGCUUCAUCAGCCAUGGCUUGAGACAUCCUAGCUAAGGCACGAUCAACAGGGACAGUAGCCAAAUUCUUUGAGGUCCCUGGCUUGUUGGGAUCAUCGUGGAUAUUAGAAUCAGCUAAAACUGCUUUUGAUCCAUCUAUUCUUGCUGCCUCAAUUAUACCAUGCAGUUGUCUCUUUUCAUUGAGCAUCUGUCUCAAAUCUCCUUGAAAUUUUUCCACAAUCGUGGGAUCAUCAGCUUCCUCGAUAUCACCAUUCAAUCCACUAUCCCGAUUAUUUGUCGAGAUCAAACGACAUGUAUCUACAUCAUGACCUUGACGCUUGCAACAAGUGCAAUACAGGGGAAGAUUAUCAUAAACAAAUUUCUGAAGAUGCUCGAUCACCAUACCAGAUUUUUCAUCCACAAAUUUGAUCCUCAAAAUCUGUGGCAGCUUACCUAGAAGAUCAAGCUCGACCUUGACCGUAGUUGUGCUAGGUCGUGACUUCUCUUGUGUUGCUUUAUCUAUUGCCAAAGGUUUACCUGCUGCUGAAGCUAUAGAAAGCAAGGAUAGUUUUGCAAAUAACAUAGGAGGCAAGUUAGGAAACGAUAUCCACACAGAAGCUUUGGAGGUCUCCUCUUUAUGAUUGAAAGUAAUAGUCCAUGGAAAAAUUCGCAUCUGUAAUUCUUGUCCAUUAGCUACUAAGUAAUUAACAGAUUUUGCAGCAGCAAGAACAUAAUCAUCAUGUCUAUCAAACCUGAUCAAAACAUGUCUUCUUGCAAGCCAUCCGACGAGGCAACGACCUUGAGUUCCAAAAUGUUUAGGCAGCAUCUUUCGAAUAUCUUGUAUAUCAUAUUGAUCUUGUGAGAAUUUAAUCACCAAAGCUUGAUGUAACCCUUCCUCCUUAGCAUAUUGAUGUACUUCCUCCAUUGUAAAUUUAAUCGGAGCUUCACCAUGGACGAACUCCACCUGCUUAAGCUCGAUUUUUGCCGGAACUUGUCCAGAUUUUUUGUUUUCCUAUAUCGAUGCAUAUGUUGAGUUCCUAUCUCCCACAGCCAAAGGCUGGGGAGAGGAUGAUGCAGCCAUGAACUGAUUCAACACUCCGUUGAUGUAGAAGAAACAGAAAAAAUUCAAAGAAGGCCAGAAGCGCACAAAUUUCUGAAAAUAUUCUACUCGCUACAGUAGAUCGCGAAAUAAAAUUUAAGAUCUGGAAAUUUUUUCUAUGGAUUUGAGGAUGAAACCAAUUGGGGAUUGUUCUCUAAGAGAAGGAGGUUCUUUUGAGACCAAUCUUGUGAUCUUACCUUGCCGGAAGCCGGAGUUAUGGCCGAUGAAUAGUGACAGAUUUACUAUUCAUGGUCUUUCUAGAGAGAAGGGAGAGUGCACCCCUAUAACAUUUGCCCUAACGCACCUUAAUCCGUUAGGUGACGACUCUUCAAAUCUCAUACCCAAUUCCCAAAACGAAAGGAGUUGUCCCGAAAUGUCGAAACCUGGACUCUGCGAGGAAGAAGGGGGCACGACCGAUAGUUCAUAGUAAAAUGCUAAGAUUUUCCCUACCUGUUUAACUUGCUUAAUAGUAUUUUUAUUUAGUUUUCUUACUGUUAUCUAUUUUUCCUGAAUUAUUACUUGUUAAUGUUCGGAACCGGGUUGUGUAUGGCUCCAUAUGAUUACUGUUGAUACUUGUCGGUGUGGCUGCUUGUGUUGGCUAAGAUGAGGUUUCUAGACCUGCGAUUUGAGUUAUUGCAUUUGGAUGAGGAAGGUUUAGAGGAUUAACACUACAUUUUGUUGGGAAUUUGGUCAAUGGCCCUGGUCGAGCGAGUGAGUUUCUUGGCUUAUUGAUCAGAUGAGUGGUUAAGCGGUUAUGCAUAUUUCUUUCAUCAUUGGUAGGGUAUGAAGGUUUUGAGCGAGGUUUUAAUCGAUAUGGAGUUUGCUACCGGCGCCGGAUUUGUGUUUGGGCAGUAUUAGUGGUCAUCAGUUCCUACUGUGAGUAUCUGAGUGAUGAGGUAUAUCAUGUGAUUACAUCUUGGGUUAUGAUUAUGACUUGAUACAACUUGUUUAGACUUAUGCAGUGUAUGGAUGUGGGAUUCGGGUCUUGUGAUGAAUUCUGGAUGGUAGAGAUUGGGUUUUGAGGUUUAAGGACCAAGUUGGAAACAAGGAUCUCUAAUGGUGUUGUGUUAGCGGGAUUAAGUGGAGCAGGGUGAUGUGGGAUCACCCCCGGGUUUAUGUUUAGUAAGGUUACACAGUGAUUGGAUGACUUUGGAACAACUCCUGGCACGUUCGAGGACGAACGUGUGUUUAAGUGGUGGAGGAUAUGUUGAUACCCAAUUUUUCUCUUAUAUAUUUUAAAAUGUGCAUACACUUUCAAAAUAUUGUAAAUGCAUUUACAAACAUGCACAAAUAUUUUCUACAAUUUUUCUACAAUUUUUUAAGGCCCUAAAUCCAUUUAUUUCUGCAUUUUUAAGUACAUAAAUAUUCAAAACUAUCCCUUAUAUUAUUUUAUGAUGAUUUAAUCAUCCAAAUUCAUCAUUUAUGUUCAUAUGAGUGUUCACAUAUUUUAAUUAUAUUUUUUAUAAUUACAUUUGCAUUUUUAAGACUAUAAAUGCAUAUUUUGCAAACAUAGCCCCUACAUAUGCAUAACUACGUUAUCUAUACAAAAAAUGACUUUCUAUAUUUUUAUAAUAUUAAGUAAUUAUUUUAAAUCACAUUCAUGCAUGAAAAUCAUUUUUUAUCAUUUAAUUAGCUAUUUUUAAAUUAUUUUAUUUAGUAAAAAUGGGUAUUUAAUAAAUAGCCCCUAAUUUAUACCCAAAAUCGGAUCCCCCCAAUCCUAUUUAAUUAAACCCAAGCCCAAUUCAAAUCAAACCUAGCCUGAUUAAAUCCAACCCGCCCCAACCCAGAACCAAUCGUGACCGUUGAUCCGUAACCAUUUUUAAUCUGAACGACCCCCUAAUCCUAUUUAUUUGUUACCACCCGCCGCCCUUGAAUCGCCGUUUCUUCACCAGUUCUCUCUGAGACCAACCCUACCCCUAGCGCCGCCACCUAAAUUCUCCCCCAAACCCUUCGAUUCUUACCCAUUCCAUGGUAUUCCCCGGUGAUUUGAGGCCCCUACUUGCCUCCUACAUCUUCUUGUUGUUCGAUUUUGUUACUUCGUGAAGGGAUCUCUAAGAGAUCCAACCCAGAUUUUGUUCGAAAUCGUUUAAUAGUCUGCCUACGGUCAUCUCUGUUUGUGAGUACUAUUAUCUUGUGUUUAUGGUUCAAAUAUUUGGUCCAAAAACAAGAUUUUCUUUACCCCACCCUUUUUCUCAAAACUCUAAUCUUUUUAAACGUGAAUCUGUCCAGAUCUUGAGUGAUUCUGAGUUUAUCAGUAGUUUUCUUUUUAAAAUCUCUUAUUUACUUUAUUGUUAAUCGAUUUUAGUAUCUUGUUAUACUAGGGUUUUUGUUUCCUUAUUAUGUGCUGGUCAGAUCUCUAUAGAUCUGAAAAGGUUUUGAGUUUCUAUGCCAUUUUCCUUCUAUUUUUCCUACUGUUGAUCGAUCCUAAAGUUUCCCAGAAUUAGGGUUCCACUUCUUCUUAUUUCUGCAAAAACUUUUCUAAAAAUUUCUAAGUGUUUGAAGUUAGUUAUAUUUACUCCAAUGUUCUAGUCCUUUGUUUGUUCAUUUGUCUCACUAUCUGCUUCAAUUUUUCACAUUAUUGUUUAUCUCUGUCAAUCAAAACAGAUUGACUGAUUUUACUUAGUGUUCGAAUUAUAUUUUCCUCUUAAAAUUAGUAUUUCCCCAUUAUUUUAUUUAUUUUCCUCAUUUAUAACUUUUAAUUGGUACUACUUGCCUUAUUUAGAUUAAUUAGUCCAAUCUAUGGCCUUUAGACUUAUUGCUUACCUUAUUUAACUUCAAUCAUGCCUGCUGACUAAUUUCGUAUGAGAUUCUCCCUAAUUUCAGUGAUAUUAAUUGAUUAGUUUUAGCCCUAAUUGAUUGGUUAAUUGAUUUACAUACUUUAUUUAUGUGCCGUUAAUUUUCCUUGCCUUAUUUGUUUACUCUGCUCUAUACUAUAUAAGUUUCAUUCUUUUCUUUAACACACACGAACAUAGUUCAACACAUAUAGGCAUAGAAAAAAAAGUUCUUGCUCUCUUCCUCUAUCACAAUCUUCUACUCUUUGUUGUUACUUUGUCUAGCCGGCUGGAAGCCAAGGCUAGACCUUUGGACCCUGUUUGUCACUCUUCUAUUUCCAAAUUCUUAACUGGUAUACAUUCACUUUACUAUCAUUCAAACCUCUAUAUGAUUUAACUUGUGUACUUCCUGCUCUCAGCAUGCCUACUUUCAUGUUAUUAAAUCAAUAUGUUCUUUGUUAUCAGCCUGCCUAUUUUUAACUAGACAUAUGUGCUUCAUGCUAAUACUUUUAAUCUGCAUGCCUACUUACAUAUGAUUAGGCCAAGAGGGUUUCUAUUCCUAGCAUGUCAGCAUGCCUACUUCUAUUAAUUAGACCUAUGUGUUUUCCUGCUUUCAACAUGUCUACAUGUCUGCCUCUAUGCCAUUAGACCUAUGUCUACUUGCCCUAUUCUAAGUGCUCAUCCUUAAUAAACUUCUGAAUAAGUCAUGGUGUCUAUGCCCUCAACUCUACUCGCUUUCUGUGUGAUUGUAUGAUCCUAGCAUGAUGUCCUAUGAUUAAUACGACGUAUGUUGGCUUAGUAACAGCUAAGGGAUCAAGACCAUGAGAAACCUUAUUAAACUAAUUGAUCCUAUAUAUUGUUGAUUGGUAGAGUUCAGGGCUAAUCCCCUUCUGUUAAAUUUGGGCCAUAUGGGCCUUUGCUUUGUGACUAUGUUUCUGCUGAGACCCUUUAUUUCAGAAUGCUUCUAACUGUUUUAAUAAUCCUGAACUAUUUUCACUCCUGAACUGUUUUACUUCUGGACUGUUUUACUUUUGAACUACUUUUAUAAAACUAUUUCUAAACUUUCAAGCACUACCUUUCACUCCUACUCUUUGAAUAUCUAGGAUCUGGCCCUUCCAGUGUGAGCACUACUUAGGAGUCCAUGAGGCUCCUCUGAACUCUGACACACUGGGGCUGGACCUUCCACACUGCACAAAAACUACUUCUCUUUAAAAGGAUCUUGGUGUGAGCAUUGCCUGGGGUCAUUUAGGCCCUUGGAAACUUUGACAUACUAGGAUACCCUCUCUUGGGCACUAUGAGAUAUGGUACUUUGGACUUUUUCAAGGCCUGGUUUUUUCAUGUUUACUUUGGGCCUAUCCAUGCUCCCUAUAGCAUGAUAUAAUUUAUUUCUAUAAUUCAUGUAUGGUUUGUAAUAAUUUCUUUGCAAACAAAUAUUGGGGAUAUUAGUAAAAUUGGGAGGGGUUCUUAUACAUAUCUUGUUGGGAAAGGGUAGAUAUCAUGUCUAUAGGUUAUUGCAAUGUUUGUUUAUUUAGAUACCAUGUCUAUAAGUUUGAAUCAGUUUCUACGCCUAGAGAGCAUGUCUAUAGGAUUUUAAAACCAAUUUCUGUAUUUAGAUACCAUGUCUAUAGGGUUUUAAACCAAUUUCUGCAUUUAGAUACCAUGUCUAUAAGGUUUUAAAACCAAUUUAUGCAUUUAGAUACCAUGUCUAUAGGGUUUUAAACCAAUCUCUGCAUUUAGAUACCAUGUCUAUAAGGUUUCAAACCAAUUUCUACAUUUAGAUGCCAUGUCUAUAAGGUGUAAAUCAGUUCUCGCUUCUAGAUACCAUGUCUAUAAGCUUAAAACCAGUUUCUACACCUAGAAGACAUGCCUAUAGAACUUAACUGCUUGCUUAAAAUUGUUAACUGCGGUUCUGAUUAACGAUUAGAUAUUAUGUUCAUAAGACAUCUCUGAUCUACACCUAGGCAAGCUUGUAGGUCGAUUAAAAUCUGGAAAUUGUAAAACCGUACUUUUGUUUAAUUAUUUGUGGAUUGCCUAGAUUAAGCAAGCCCUAAAAUCAGUAGGCAAACUAAUUAGGUCUCUAUUGACUCGCUGCACAUAUUCUGUUUGUCAUGUUUACCUAGAUAUCCUGCUCUAGGAUCUUUUGAAAUAUCUGAAAUCUUGUUGUUUGAGAGGUGCUAUUGUCUGCUUGUGUGAGAAGGUAAAAGUGAACCUUUAAUUGUCCCUUUAUGUAAAUGUCCUACUUGUUUUUGCUCGUCGCUUAGAUUUUCUCCUUUUAAGCACUUUAGGAGAGUCUAGAAUUACCUUAAUUAGAAGUCCUAAAUAAGGACCAUAAGUAAAGGGACAUGUAGUGCACACAUAGGAUACGUACUUGAUGUUGCGAGAAUGCUUUAGGUAAUAACUAAGGGGAGGGUAACUGGGUAGUAAUGGAUAUGAUGACUUGUGCAUAAUGCUAUGUGUAACACCCCAACUUGGGGACAAUUACCAAGCAUUCUAUAGAAGUGAUCCUAUAGGCUAAAAAACCUAGGACCCCCUUUACUCCUUAUUUUCAAAUGUAAUAUCCAUUUGUCUAAAGUGCUUUACUUGUUUAUAAGACUAAUUCGCCUAAUUCGAGUUUGGCCUGGACCCACCAUUGUGGACCUCGAGGGGUGCCUAACACCUUUCCCUUAACAUUAUUUUGAGCCCUUACCCAAUCUCUAGUAAUGCAAAUCGGUUUUAUGAGUUAUUUGUUUUAGGUACCCUAACGUACCUUAAAUCCAUUAGGUGGCGACUCUUCAAAUUCCAUACCCAAUUCCCAAAAGGAAAUGAGUUGUUCCCAGUGAGAUGUCGAAACCCGGACUCCGCGAGAAAAGGGGGCGGGACAGCAUGGCGACUUUGCUGGGGAUAUUUUAGGCUCUUACUAUAACGAACUUGUUUUUGUGAAUUAGUCUUAAGCAUGCUUUAAAUAUCUGUUCACACUUCCCCCUUCCCUUUUAUUUGAAUUUAGUUGCCUAUUUCUAAAGCAUUCAUAAUUUCCUUUAUUUCCUGAAACUGAAUAUCUCCUUGUUUUCUUAACUGUCUUUCAAUUAUUUAAAUAUUGCAUUUAUCUUUUUUUUAACGUGAAAAUACUUGACAACAUGCUAUUUAUUGUUGCAUAAAUCAUGCUCAACAUCAUAUUCCACUCGUGUGUAAUCAAUCCUAUAGCAACGCUUGAUAAGUGUUUGCAUUUUUCCUAUAUAUAUCACCCACUAAAUGUGGAAAGGCGUAUUUGCAGUAAAACUAGUCGAUCAACGGUGCAAUCGAUGGUUCCGUGCCUUUCCUUCUCAAGUUGUCCGCUUGAGGGUCCCAGUCUAGACCUCUAUAGCAACCUUACUCUAAUUAAUUAUGCAUGUAUCAUGGUCAAACCUAGCCGGGAUAAUAUGUUGUCCACAUAAUAACUUGUUAAGACAAGCCUCAUCCAAAAGUCCAUCGGGUUUUCCAUAAUUUCAACGGACGCAACCACGACUUUAUGCAUUAAUUUUGGAGAAAUAAGUGCCAAUAUGCUAAUCAUUGUUGUAUAGAUAGACGAACCUGGAGGGGGAUAGGGCCUAACUAUCUUUUGUUUUGUAGAGAAUGAUGCACGAAAUCCCCAGGUUCGGCAUGGUCAGUAACAUACCAUCACCAUUGCUAGAUUGGUGGAGGGAUCUUCCGUCAAGUGACCAAAAUCAUGUGAAAAGGGUCUUAGAAAAUUUGCCUUACUUAUUUGAUCUUCAGCCGAACAAAAUUUUGAUUGAGGCUGCUACAAUGUUCUAGGACAAAGAAAGGGUUGUGUUCCGCUUUGGAGACAUAGAAAUGACCUCUCUCUUGGAAGAAAUAGGGGGAUUCGCUGGGCUGCCUUAGGAUAGCCCUGGUUUAUUGGCACCUGAAAAUCGCACCACUAAGGGAUUUCUUAAGAUGAAGCGUUUAAAGAAGAAUGAUGACUUAGAGUGCCUGAAGAACUCCUACAUACCCUUCGACUUCCUCUAUGAAUGAUACAGUCACAACAGGUCUUACCGUAUUUUCGAUGAUGAAUUCUCCAUCACCUCCUUGGAGUGGAUUCACCGCAGGGCCUUUGUGUUCAUCGUGUGUUUCUUGGGCAUGCUAUUGUUCCCGAUCCAAGGGGACAAAAUCCAUACCAGACAGGACAUGGUGGCAAAAACUUUGAUGGAAGGGAUCGAGGGGCAGACAUAUACCAUUGUCCCUAUGAUCAUUGCAGAUAUAUACUGGGCCAGAAAGGGUACAGAUACUUCGAGGGUUGCAAAUUGCUGUUGCAGGUUUGGUUGUUAGUACAUCUCCAAAGAGGUCAAUACCGCCAAGAGUUUUCACAAAGACCGUGGAAUGAUCGCAUAGCUUUGCAUCACCCUAAGAAGAUGACCUAUAUCCUAGACAGGUUUGCUCAACCAGGAAAUGUUGUAGAAUGGGUGAAAUUUUUUAACAAUUUGACUGAGGAUCAGGUUCAAUGGAUGUUCGAGUGGUUCCCUACUGAUGAGUUCAUCAUCAGAUCCAGGGAUGUUCCCCAUUUGGUACUAAUCGGGUUGAGGGGCAUAUACCCUUAUGCUCCCCUCAGGGUUAUGAAAUAGGUAGGCAGGAAGCAGUUCAUACCACAAGUCGCUAAAAUGAGUCACUUCAUAGCUGAUUUUCAAGUUGACGCCAUUCCAUACAAAAAUGAAGCACAACACAUGUGGCACUUAAAGGUUAUCAUGGAAAAGGAUACCAUCGAGCCGUAUCGAUAUAAUGCUGGUCAUGCAUACUUCUACCCCUCAUGGUUGAAUGAUUACAUAUGGGGAUAUUCAAGCCAAGGGUUGGUCCAGGAAACAGGGUCAUAGACGAAGUUGCUGAAGCACAGGUGAAGUAUAACAAACUGCGCAAAAGGGUUCACGAGUAUGAAGCCGAGCAUAUGGAGCAACAUAAGGACGAUAUGGAAAUGAUCAAGGAGUGGAAAGAAAGGGUUGUUAAAUCCAAUGAAAGGCUGGAAUAUCUGGAGUACAAUCUAAUGGAAUUAGAGGGAAAAAUGAGAAAGAGAGUCACUGAUUGCCUGAACGCUAAGGCAAAUGAAGGAGGACAUUUGGCAAUGGCAUUAUUACUGCUGAACCUGCGCGAACUGGGGGAUCUGAUCGACAAGAGCAUGUAGCCUGAAGAAGGUCCUUCUGGGACCAAGUAGAUUAGGUUUACUUGCUUUUCAAAUGUAAUAAGGCCAAGUGGAAUUAGUGAGUUAUCUUAUUUCGUGUCAUUUUGGGUCAUCUAUCUUUACAUUAAUGAAAUGAGGCAAUUAUUGGCACUGAAUUUCUCCAAAUAUAUUUGUCGCUAGGCCUACCUCGGGCACAACGAGGCUCCCAAGAUAGCACCCAAAUUUAUAUUGCUGCAAUAUGUGUUUAAAUACCGCAAAGGUUUCAAAAUCCUUACUAACUUGUUUACCUUUGUUUUUCUUUAUUCUUUAUUAUUCCCAUCCACUAGGGUUGGUUCGCACAUACUGGCAUCAUUAGCAUAUCACACCAGAUCUAGAGGCCCUCCACCUCCUCCUCCUCCAAGUAAUACGAAAAGCAGAGGGAAAACUAAGAUGGAUGACUUAAGUGGUAUUCGAAAGGAAAAUGGUAAGAAUGCGGAAACUUCAGACGGUCGAAGUACUCCGGCACCAAGUGACUUGGUUUUGCGGUUGGAACAAAAGAUACUGGAGUUACAGGGAGAACUUGAGCAGGUCCCCAACUUAGAAAACUUCCCCCUCACCUUGAACAUCCCGACAUCAACCAACAAAAUACCAAAAACCCAGCACCUCCCCAAAAUACACCAAACCAUCAUCCACAAAACAACCCUGCACCAUAUCAAUAUGCAACUCCACCUCAAAAUCCCAAUCAUUUACCGAUACCAACUCCUCCACAACAUUAUCAUCAACCAACCCAGUACCCACAACCCACUACCUAUCAAACCCCUCAGAAUAAUCCACAACCCAUUCUCGAUCCUCAAAACUCAACCAACGACCACCACUACACCCAAAUCCCUGGCACUCACCAAAACAACCCCAUAUACGUGGAAAUCGUACCUCACUCCACUCAACCAAUCUCCUAUGCACCAGAAUCCGCUGAGAAGGCCCUGCUCAUAAAGAACAUGGCUAAGGAACUCAAGAAAUUGACAAGUCGAGUUCAGGGUGUCGAAAGAGGUAAAGGGAUAGAAGGUCUAAAUUGUGAGGAUCUGUGCAUACAACUAGACGUAGAACUGUCGGAGGGUUACAAACCUCCCAAGUUCGAAAUGUUUGACAGAACAGGUGAACCCAAGGUUCAUUUGAGAACUUAUUGUGACAAGAUCGUGGGGGUCAGAAAAGAUGAAAGGAUCCAAAUAAAGCUCUUCAUGAGGAGUCUUACCGGAGAUGCCUUGUCCUGGUACAUAAGCCAGAACCCUAAGAAGUGGGACAAUUUGGUGAGCAUGGCAUCAGAAUUUAUGGACCAGUUUAGGUUCAAUACAGAGAAUGCACUAGAUGUCUUCUACAUUUAGAACUUAAAGAAGAAGUCAACUGAGACUUUCCGCGAGUAUGCUACUUAGUGGAGUUCGUAAGUAGCCAAGGUCAGACCAUCACUAGAAGAAGAACAAAUGAACAAGUUCUUUGUCAGGGCAUAUGACCCACAGUAUUAUGAAAUGCUAAUAGUCAUUGAGAAUCACAAGUUCUCUGAUAUCAUCAAACUCGGAGAAAGGAUUGAAAAGGUAACAAAAGAGGGAUGGUGACAAACUUUGAGGCACUAUAGGCCACAAACAAAGUAUUACAAUCAGGUGGCAUAUAAAAAAAGAAAGAAGUGGGGGCAGUAAUGGUAGCCCAAGGCCCAAAAUCUCCGCUCACAUACCAAUCACCUCCACCCACAUACCAAACACCUCUACCCACAUACUAACCCUCAUCUCCUAGAUAUACUCAACUCGCCACCACCUAUCUCCCUUAUAACACCAAGCCAGCCUACUAUCAUUCACCUCCAACUCGUCCGAAUUACUAGAAACCCCGACCUAACUUUGAUCGCAAACCACAAUACACCAUUAUUGUUGAACCCAUCGACUAGCUGUACGAAAGGUUGAAGGCCGCUGGUUAUGUCACUCCUAUUCCUACUGUGGCAAUGGAGAAUUCAUCUUAAUGGGUUAACCCAAACAAGACAUUUGCAUACCAUUCUGGUAUAAAGGGGCACACCAUUGACGAGUGCCGAACAUUGAAAGAUAAAAUAUAGAUAUUGAUUAAUAACAAGGUCAUACAUGCAAAGGAGCCCAACGUCUGCAACAAUCCUCUCCCGGAUCAUCGGGGUAAUGGGGUCCAUGUGAUAGAGAUGGAUGAAGAAUGGGAUCCUAAGGGGUCAAUCGGGCUUAUUCGGGAAGGCGAUGACUUCAAACCCGCAAUCACACUCACUCCUAUUGUGAUACAGAUACAGCCAUCAGUUGAAGUUGAGGUAACUGCAUCGGUUCCAUUUGAGGUAGAGGUAGCUCUCCCUGCAGCCACACCUAUUCCAUUUGAGGUAGAAGUGGCCACACCUUUCAUAGUGACAGUAGCAACAACACCUCAUUUCAACUCCAAUGCCAUACCUUGGGAUUACGUUGCCGAAGCUAGGCGAAAAGGAAAAGCAAAAAUGGAAGAAUAGGAUGUCGCACAAGGAAUGACCAGAACGGGAAGGGUCUAUACACCCGAACAUUUGGGAGGAUCGAGCAAGGAGGUUUCUACUAUGAAACUUGUCAUUGAAACUGGACCAGAUGAUCUUUGGAGGAAAGUAUAGGAAAGGGAAUACUCCGUUGUCGAUCAUUUAAACAAAACCCCCGCCUAGAUCUCCAUCCUGUCACUAUUACAAAAUUCGGAGGCGCACAAGAAUGCUUUGAUGAAUGUGCUAAAUAAGGAUUAUGUGCCUAGCAAUAUCACAUGCGGAGAAAUGUCCAACAUAGUAGGGCAAGUGCUGGAGAGUCAUAAGAUCACCUUCCACGAGGAUGAAUUACCGCCUGAAGGGUUAAGUAAUAACCGGGCAUUGCAUAUCACAGUAAAAUUUGACGACAAAUUCAUUGCUAGGGUCUUAAUAGAUGAGGGUUCAAGCCUCAACAUUUUCCCGUUGACUACUCUGAAAAGAUUGGGCAAAUAUUUCCACGAGAUACGAGUAGGAAGUAUGAACGUGAAAGCCUUUGAUGGAUCUCAAAGGGGCACGAUUGGGGAGAUUAAUCUUUGCCUGCAAAUGGGGCCAACUUGGUUCGAUGUUGAAUUCCAAGUGUUUGGCAUAUCAGCUACAUACAAUAUCCUAUUGGGUCGACCUUGGAUACACGUCGUUGGGGUCGUGGUUUCCACUCUACAUCAAGCUAUGAAGUUUGAAUAGAAUCAUCAGGAGGUAAUCAUUCACGGAGAUGGGAGUAACCCCAUUUACACCAGUCAAACUAUCCCGGUUAUCGAGAAUAGAAGAAGGCUAGGAGGGGAAACGUAUCACCAGAUCAAACAUGUCAAUGCAGUUGAGAAAGACAGAUGGUGGAGUAACAAAAUAGAAAGCAUACUAGCAUGGUAUGGGUAUGAACCCGGCAAAGGGCUUGGGAAGGAACUCUAGGGCAUUACCAAGCCGAUACAGCUGAAAUGUCAUGGCACAACUUUUGGGGUGGGAUGCCUAUACACCUGGCAAGAGUACAAUGAUUGGUCACUGCCAUGGCGUGGUACUUAUUACCCUUUUGAGCAACUAGUGCCACAUCUAGGUCAGACUUUUCACCAAGCCGAUACAAUAUGGGGAACUGCAGAGGAAGAAGCUUUAGUCGGGCUGAGGAAUUUGUUCGUAGAGGACGAGGAUAUGGAUUGCAAUGCAAUAAUUGAGGAGGAGGAGGAAGAAGGCCUCACCAUUUAGACUGUUAGGAAGGGAGCUGUUCUUAAGAAUUGGACUGCCACACCAUCCCGGGCCCGCUGAGUCCCCGGGUAGCUUGUUAUUUAGCCUAAAUUUCUUUCUAUAGAUGGCUAAGCAUUUAAGAUUUUUUCAGUAAUUUUGUUUUAAAGACGCUUUUUGUUUCAAAAUAAUUGCUCGAUUUAUUGAGCUAUACUUGUUUUGGAUAUUUUCAAAUUAAUCAAUACAUUGCUAUUUAUUAUUCAUUAUUAUCAUUCACAUUUUCUUUCUACAAUGUUAUUGUUACUUUUACUGAUGAAACAAUGACGGUGACAUGUAAUGAGACAACGCAAUAUACGGAUAGUGACUCGGAGGAAGAAGAUGAAAUACCUGAGGAAGUUGUCAGAGAAGUCGAGAACUUUGAGAACAAACCUAAGUCCAACCUGGACAAAACUGAAGCAAUAAAUUUGGGAGAUGUCGAGACCAUCAAGGAGACUCGCAUAAGCAUUCACUUAUCACCGUCAGAGAAGGAAGAGUACAUUCGUUUCCUAAAGGAAUAUGAGGAUAUCAUUGCAUGGUUAUAUGAUGACAUGACUGGUUUGAACACAUCCAUAGUGGUUCACAAGUUACCUACCAAUCCAAUGUGUCCGCCAGUAAAGCAGAAACUCAGAAAGUUCAAACCAUACAUGAGCCUAAAAAUCAAGGAGGAAGUCACUAAGCAGAUCAAAGCCAAAGUCCUCAGGGUAGUUGAGUACCCAACCUGGCUAGCCAACAUCGUACCAGUUUCGAAGAAAGAUGGGAAAGUUAGAGUAUGUGUUGACUAUCGAGAUUUAAACAAAGCAAGUCCCAAGGACGACUUUCCACUGCCAAAUAUACACAUCCUAAUUGACAAUUGCGCCAAGCAUGAACUCCAAUACUUUGUAGAUUGCUUCACGGGUUAUCAACAGAUCUAGAUGAAGGAAGAAUAUGCAGAGAAAACAGCUUUCAUCACACCGUGGGGGGGGGGGGGUAUACUACUACAAGAUGAUGCCAUUUGGUCUAAAGAAUGCUGAGGCUACUUAUAUGAGAGCCAUGACAACCAUCUUCCAUGAUAUGAUACACAAGGAAAUAGAGGUGUAUGUUGACGACGUCAUCAUCAAAUCCAAGAGGGUCGCGGAUCACAUAGCGGAUUUGAGAAAGUUCUUUAACAGGUUAAGAAGGUAGAAUCUAAAACUGAACCCCGCAAAAUGUGCAUUCGGGGUUCCCGUAGGGAAGUGUUUGGGAUUCAUUGUCAGCCGUCUAGGAAUCGAGUUGGACCCGUCCNNNNNNNNNNNNNNNNNNNNNNNNNCCUAGGACGUCUCAACAGGAAACGUCUCAAUUAUAUCAGUCGCUUCAUAGCACAGUCCACAGUUAUAUGUGAACCCAUCUUCAAAAUGUUGAGGAAAGAUGCUAAAACGAGUUGGACCGAAGAUUGUCAGAAGUCUUUUGACAAAAUUAAGGAAUACAUGUCCACACCACCAGUCAUAAUCCCGCCAAAACCUGGGAAACCUUUGCAACUCUAUCUGUUCGUAUUGGAUAGAGAUUUCGGAUGUGUUUUGGGGCAACAUGAUGAGAUAGGAAGAAAGGAGCAAGCCAUAUACUACUUGAGAAAGAAAUUCACACCUUAUGAAGCACGAUAUUCUCUGCUGGAACGCACUUGCUGCGCUUUGACGUGGACAACCCAGAAAUUGAGGUAUUACUUCUGUGCCUACACCACAUACCUCACAUCCAGGAUGGACCCUCUGAAGUACAUCUUUUAGAAGCCCAUGCCAACCGGGAAGUUAGCUAAAUGGUAGAUAUUGUUAAGUGAAUUUGACAUCAUCUAUGUAACUUAGAAGGCAGUCAAAGGACAAGCAUUGGCAGACCAUCCUGAUGAGAAAGUAUCAUUCAUAGGAGAGGACAUUUCUAAAGCAUACAACGGUUGGAGAAUGUUCUUCGAUGGAACUACAAACUUCAAAGGAGUGGGCAUUGGAGUGGUUUUGGUAUCAGAAAUAGGUCAACACUACCUUGUAUCCGCGAAGCAUAGAUUUCCAUGUACCAACAACAUGGCAUAAUACGAAGCUUGCAUCAUGGGGCUCAAUCUGGCCAUCGAUAUGAAUAUAUAGGAGCUACUGGUAAUCGGUGAUUCAGAUCUUCCGGUACAUCAAGUUCAAGGGGAAUGGGCCACGAAGAAUACCAAGAUACUAUCAUACUUGCAUCAUGUGCAGGAAUUGAUGAAAAGAUUCACAAAGAUAAAAUUCAAACGUGUACCCAUAAUUCAAAAUGCGUUUGCAGAUGCAUUGGCCACUUUAUUAUCAAUGAUACAACAUCCAGACAAGAAUUUCAUCGAUCCCAUCCCAGUGAGGAUCCAUAAUCAUCUAACUUACUGUGCUCAUGUUGAAGAAGAAACAGAUGAAAACCUUGGUUCCACGACAUCAAAGAAUAUUUGGCAAAAGGAGAAUACCCAAAACAGGCGAACCAUACUCAGAAACGCACAUUGCGGAGGUUGUCCAAUCACUUCUUCCAAAGCGAAGGGACCCUGUAUAGAAGAACUCCUGAUCUGGGGUUGUUAAGAUGUGUUGACGCAAAUGAGGCUUCUAGAUUGCUUGAGGAAACAUACCGAAACUUGUGGACCACAUAUGAAUGGUUUUGUUCUAGCCAAUAAGAUACUCAGAGCUGGAUAUUUCUGGAUGACCAUGGAAACAGAUUGCAUUUGGUACGUACAGAAAUGCCACCAGUGCCAGGUACAUGCAGACAUGAUAAAGGUACCACCAAACGAGCUCAAUGUAACAACUGCAUCUUGGCCUUUUGCUGCCUGGGGAAUGGAUGUCAUCAGUUCGAUCGAGCCCACUGCUUCAAACGGGCAUCGGUUCAUUCUAGUGCCAUUGACUACUUCACAAAAUGGGUAGAGGCUGCAUCCUACAAAGCUGUAACCAAGAAAGUCAUCGUAUAUUUUGUCAAGGAUCAUAUUGUUUGCCGAUUCGGAGUUCUAUGAGUCCAUUAUCACUGAUAACUCCGCCAAUCUCAACAGUGACCUAAUGAAAGACAUGUGUGAAACCUUCAAAAUCAAGCACAAAAACUCUACAGCAUACAUGCCUUAGAUGAAUGGAGUUGGGGAAGAUGCUAAUAAGAACAUCAAGAAGAUACUAAGGAAGAUGGUAGAAAAUCACAAACAAUGGCACAAGAAGCUACCAUUUUCCCUAUUGGGUCACCGCACUACGGUCUGCACAUCAACUAGGGAAACUCCCUACUUACUUGUUUAUGGUACCGAAGUUGUCAUUCCAACCGAGGUAAAAAUUCCUUCUUUAAGGAUCAUACGGGAAGCCGAACUCAGUGAUGCAGAAUGGAUAAGGAGACACUAUGAGCCACUGUCCCUUAUAGACGGUAAAAGAAUGAACAUAGUAUGUCACGACCAGCUUUAUAAGAACAGAAUGUCCAGAGCUUUCAGCAAAAAGGUCAAACCAAGGCAAUUCGCACCGGGACAGUUGGUGCUGAAGAAGAUCUUCCCGUAUCAAGAUGAAGCCAAAGGGAAAUUUACUCCCAAUUGGCAAGGUCCUUACAUGGUUCACCGGGUGCUGACAGAAGGAGCACUCAUACUUGCAAAAAUGAAUGGAGAAGUUUGGCCGAAACCAAUCAAUUCAGACGCAAUCAAGAGAUACUAUGUUUAGAUUGUUUACAUUCCUUCAUCUGAUGUAAUUGAACUACGCUUGACCUAAUUCUCGUUUAAGAGGGGAUACGUAGGUAGCCCUGUGGGUUCGGACAUAUCUUAAUAAAAUCUUCAUUUUCCUCAACACUAGAAACUAGGGCAGAAUUUUGAGGAGGACCCUCAAAAUUCUAGAGCAAGUCCAGCCAAUGCCAUCAUAUGUUAGACAGUUAGAAAUUGGUUACCAAACUGGGGCAGAAUUUUGAGGAGGACUCUCAAAAUUCUAAUACAAGAAAGCUGCAAUGUCUCUAAAAUGUGAUAUAGUCACUAGUUUAUCUAAAAUUACCUGAUAUUUCACUAUGUUUUCUAAAAAAUAACUCCAUUUUUAUCAAUAAAUACAUAUAUUCGAAAACUCUAUUUUCGUAACAGCUAGGCGUUACCCAGGGCAACUCAAACAAGGCCUCCAGGAUGGAGCGAAGCAAAACCAGUAGACGAAGGCACAAACGAACAUCCCCUUACAAAACUUACAAUUUUUCUUUGGAUGCAGGCAUGGUGAACAUAACAGAAGUAUUCGCAAACAUACACAUAUAAAAGUCACUAUCAAUCAAGCCACCAAACACAAAUACAUCUCCAGCUAAGAAAUAUUCCACUCUUAUUUGCUACUUGUUCACUGCAUAAGGCUAAGCAUUGCCUUCUCUUUCAUGAGACUAAGCCUUGUCUCAAAUCUUGCAUGAGGCUAAGCCCUGCCUCCAUGUUUGCAUAAGGCUAAACACUGCCUUCUCUUUGCAUGCGACUAAGCCUUGUCUCAAAUCUUGCAUGAGGCUAAGCCCUGCCUCCGUAUUUGCAUAAGGCCAAGCACAACCUUUUCUUUGCAUGAGCCUAAGCCUUGUCUUAAAUCUUGCAUGAGGAUAAGACCUGCCUCCGUAUUCGCNNNNNNNNNNNNNNNNNNNNNNNNNGCAUAAAUGUUGCUUUAUUCUAAACUUGGCACUAUCUUCUUCCCUCGGGCUAAGCUCUGCCCCCAAACUUCGUGCAAGACUAAGCUUUGUCUUGCUAUCACUCACGGUAUCAUAUCUCUGCACCUCAUGGGCUAACAUAUAGCCAACCUGUCCAAAGGCGUCAUAGUCUGAAGGCAUCAUCCUCAUAGCCUGAGUACACCAUGUUAUGGCCUGAGGAUCCCUCAGACUUGCAUAUCAUUAUUCAAAGGCGUCAUUGUUCAGAGGCACCAUUCUCAUGUCCCGAGAACAUCAUUUCAAGGCCUACGAAUCUCCUAUCUCACAAUUCAUGGCCCAAGACAUCAUGAUCUAAAGACAUCAUCUGCACUGUCCAAAGACAAUCUUUCAUGGUCCAAAGGGAAUUUGCAUCACGUUUAAAUUCCCGUAAUACUCUAUAUACUCGCAUUCAUUGUGUUUUAAGUUUUGCAGGUAAUCCAGGAGGUAACCGUCUUCAAACAGGAGCAACCUUCGCUCCGAUUUCCGCUCAUACCAUUUUGCUUUGCCAUUUUAACCGAUCCACAUUAAUGACCCACCUGACUUUGCAACAUUCAGAUAUCUAACCUAUAAUAUCUUCAUUAUAUUCCAGACUCAUAGUCAUAACUCUAUCCGACAUCACCCUAUACAAAAGAACCUUUUGAUGAAAUUGACUGCCAUUCGUAUAACAACUCCAUCGGCUUCAUUCACCAUUGGGUCCAGAACUACACAUGGCCUGAUUCCUAUAAAACCAGGGAUAUGUAGGCAACUCAGAGACCAAGCUUUAGACUUUAUUUUUUCAAAACACCCAUUCGGUCAAAAUCGGCCAUCAUUUCUUUACCCGAAAACUUUUUCAUCCUUCUCGGGUAAAGAGGGGCAGUUGUUGAUACCCAAUUUUUUUCUCAUAUAUUUUAAAUUGUGCAUACACACUUUCAAAAUAUUUUACAUGCAUUUACAAACAUUCACAAAUACUUUUACAAUUUUUCUACAAUUUUUUAAGGCCCUAAAUCCAUUUAUUUAUGUAUUUUUUAAUUACAUAAAUGUUCAAAAAUAUCCCUCAUAUUAUUUUAUGAUGAUUUAAUCAUACAAAUUAAUCAUUUAUAUUCAUAUGAGUGUUCAAAUAUUUUAAUUGUAUUUUUUAUAAUUAAAUUUGCAUUUUUAAGACUAUAAUUGCAUAUUUUGCAAAAAUAGCCCCUACAUAUGGAUAACUACUUUAUCUAUACAAAAAAUUACUUUUUAUAUUUUUAUAAUAUUAAGUAAUUAUUUUAAAUCAUAUUCAUGCAUGAAAAUAAUUUUUUAUCAUUUAAUUAGCUAUUUUAAGUUAUUUUAUUUAGUAAAAAUGGGUAUUUAACAAAUAGCCCCUAAUCUAUACCCAAAAUCGGAUCCCCCCAAUCCAAUUUAAUUAAACCCAAGCCCAAUUUAAAUCAAAUCUAGCCCAAUUAAAUCCAACCCACCCCACCCCAGAACCAAUCGUGACCGUUGAUCUCUAAGAUCAACGGUCCAUAUCACCCCUUACCAUUUUUAAUCUGACUGACCCCCUAACCCUAUUCAUUUGUUACCACCCUCCACCCUUGAAUCACCCUUUCUUCUCUGGUUCUCUCUGAGACCAACCAUAACCCUAGCGCCGCCACCUAAAUUCUCCCCCAAACCCUUCGACUCUUACCCAUUCCAUGGGAUUCCCUGGUGAUUUGAGGCCCCUACUGGCCUCCUACUUCUUCUGGUUGUUUGAUUUUGUUACUUCAUGAAGGCUCUAAGAGAUCCAACCCAGAUUUUGUUCGAAACCAUUUAAGAGUCUGCCUACGGUCAUCUCCAUUCGUGAGUGUUAUUAUCUUGUGUUUAUGGUUCGAAUCUUUGGUUCAAAAACAAGAUUUUCUUUACCCCACCACUUUUCUCAAAACCCUAACCUUUUGAAACACGAAUCUGUCCAGAUCUUGAGUGAUUCUGAGUUUAUCAGUAGUUUUCUUUUUAAAAUCUCUUAUUUUCUUUAUUGUUAAUCGAUUUUAGUAUCUUGUUAUACUAGGGUUUUUGUUUCCUUAUUAUGUGCUGGUCAGAUCUCUGUAGAUAUGAAAAGGUUUUGAGUUUCUAUGGCAUUUUCCUUUUGUUUUUCCUACUAAUGAUCGAUCCUAAAGUUUCCCCGAACUAGGGUUCCUCUUCUUCUUGUUUCUGCAAAAACUUUUCUAAAAGUUUCUAUGUGUUUGAAGUUGGUUAUCUUUACUCUUAUAUUCUAGUCCUUUGUUUGUUUAUUUGUCUCACUGUCCGCUUCAAUUUUUCCCGUUAUUGUUUAUCUCUGUCAAUCAAAAUAGAUUGAUUGAUUUUACUUAGGGUUAGAAUUAUAUUUUCCUGUUAAAAUUAGUAUUACCCCAUGAUUUUAUUUAUUUUCCUCAUUUAUAACAUUUAAUUGGUACUACUUGCCUUAUUUAGAUUAAUUAGUGCAAUCUAUGGUCUUUAGACUUAUUGCUUACCUUAUUUAACUUCAGUCAUGCCUGCUGACUGAUUUCGUAUGAGAUUUUCCCUAAUUUAAGUAAUAUUAAUUGAUUGGUUAAUUGAUUUGCAUACUUUAUUUAUGUGCCGUUAAUUUUCCUUACCUUAUUUGUUUACACUUCUCAAUACUAUAUAAGUUUCAUUCUUUUAUUUAACACAAACGAACAUAGUUCAACACACACACAGACAUAGAAAAAAAAAA